rnacentral:lncRNA from 1 species
CAGAAUUUGUAAGAUGAUCGUGCUGGAUGCUGUCUUCAUCAUUGAGUUUUUGAAGGAUUCAUAUGAUGAUGACUUUCCUCAAACUCUUGAUACCAGGAUGAUAUCUUGCAUAGGAGAAGACUUGAUGCUACCUGAAAACCAACUACCUUUCUUCAUUAUCGACUAUAUAUAUAGCGAGUUUUAUCACCCUCGAAAAGAUGAACCAAACAUUACUUUUCUUCAUCUUGCCACCCGUCAUUUUGAAAAUUACCCAUUUGCACAAGGGCCAAAAUCCACACCACCGACAGAUGCAAGGCAUUUCACUGAUUUACUAAUGAAAUUAAUGUUGAAAGGAGCCCUCAAGCGAGACAAUUGCUCUAAGCCUCCUAUCAAGCUGAAAUAUAGCGCCGUCACGCUUCGCAAAGGAGGAGUGAAGUUUCAGGUCUCCGAAGACAAGUGUUUGUUCAACGUACAUUUUGAGAACGGAGUGUUGAAAAUACCACUCUUGGAAGUUGAUGAUUCCUUCGAACGUUUUGUACGAAAUGUCAUGGCCUGGGAGCAGUGCUACAAACCGGGUGAAGCUUACAUCAGCAACUACUUUAAGUUUAUGGACCAUCUUAUUGACAGGGCAGAAGACGUGGCUUUGCUAGCUGAAGAGGGAAUUAUUAAGAACUGGCUAGGUGAUGACGCCGCAGUUUCAAAGUUGAUGAACAACCUUAGCCAACGUAGUGAAAAAACUUCUUAUUAUAGUGAUAUCUGUCAACGCUGAAUGCCUACUAUGAGAACCCCUGGAACCGUAGAAGGGCAACCUUGAAACUUGUUUAUUUCAGCAAUCUUUGGAGAGGUACGGGAACUGUUGCUGCAGCUUUCCUUCUAAUCCUCACUUUGAUACAGACUAUAACUUCCCUGAAAUCGUCAUUCUAGGAUUAAAUCUUGUUUAGUUUUAUUAAUCCUACGCAAUAAUUGAUGGGUUUGUUAUUGUUGUAUUCCUUGGAAAUUGUUGUUUUAAUUUUAGUUCAAAGCUUGCGUAGUUCUAAAUGUAGCUAUUUCUUGUUGUAUUGUCCUGAAACUGAUCCUGUACUUGUUCCCUGUGUGCUGUCCUUUCCUCUCAAAGCUCUCUUCUUUUAAGCUCUUCUUCUGAUUAAAUAAAGCUGAAGAAUGCAUGAUCUCAAUUUUCACUUGAUCAUGGCGACUGUGAAGCCUUGAAUCCUAAAACUAGUCGAAUUAUGCCAAGUAAAUACCACAAGUCCAUAUCGGCAUUUCCAGAUUCAUAAGCUAUCAACCUCACAACUAACUUCCAUCAAUGUCAAUUUCAAUUGAUCCAGCGGAGGACCUAGCUAACCACGAAACCGAACAAGUUUUCUAAUGAACAACUAGGUUCGAAUCCCUCUUUUGCAACCAAAGAAAAAAAAACAUACUGUGGUUUCUCUGGGUCAAUCUUGUUGCUCUCCACGACAAGCAUUUUGAUCCGUGAUUCCUUGACGCCAUGCUCAUUCAUCAACCACAACUCAAAACUGUCGUCGUCGUCAAGACCACAAGAAUAGAUGGAGUUUUCAUAAACUCCAAUUUUUAUAUCCCAGCAAUAGUUAUCCAGAGAGUGAGAAUGAUCUAAAUUUCUCGUUUCCAAGAUCAAAUGCACAUAUUACAGAAUCAAUGUUAAUGGUUUCAUAACGAUCAACUAUAUAACAUCCAUAAAUGAACAUGACAAAAAAAGGCCAACAAUCUGGGUAGCCAUGACAGCCGAGGACUUUUCCAGUACUUCUCUAGGUGCCAGUCUCUCGAUUAUGAAUACCUUAGCAUGGAAUUCAGAAGAAUCUAUUGACUCAUAAACUCUAAUAACCUUACCAAUUUAUGUGGUUGAUUUAUACACGAUCCAUGGCCUCUAUAAAUUUAUUUGUACCUCUAUAAUAUAAAGUUUCCAAAAAUUUCAAUGUCACCCUAAACUAAUAAUAAAACCCCAAUCCCUUUUGAGAGCCGACCUCUCUUCUCUACCGUAGGCGUCGAAGAAGAAUAAAAAAAAAAUCCCCAAAAAAGAAGAAAAAAACAUGAAUGGAGUUUUAAACAACCCGUAUUUUGAAUUUUCUUUUUUGUUUAAGGUUUUCAAAUGUUUUUUGAGAUGUUAUAACACAUUGAAGAUUCAAGAUAAAAGUUUUUAAAAAAAUGGGCUUUUGUCUUUUUGUUAUUUACCGUGUGUUUGGUAUUAAUAUAUAAAAUGUUUUUAAAAAAAGUUUAUUUUAAUUGAAAUCAUGUUAAAAUAGUUUUUUUAGAUAUUUAACAUUAAAAUCAUAAACAAUUACUAAAAAAAAUAUCAAUUUGAUGUUUUUACAAGCUAAACACACUCUUAAAACGCACUUAAACAAAAACAAGCAACCUUUUAAUCUUUUUAAAUUUAUAAAAUAACGUUUGAUUAUUGUCACGGAACAAAAAAGAUAGAGACAAGAUAGAAAAUGAAACAAAGAUAAAAUUACAUUUGAUAGUGAUGUAUAAGAUAAAUUGAAUAUCUCUAUAUCUUAUUUGUUUAUGGUGGAUAAAAUAAAAUAAAAUAUAUAAAAAAAUUAUUUUAUAUUUAAUAUGUAUUGUUGUCAAACUUAUAUAUUUUUACAAAAUAAUUAUAUAUAUAUAUAUAUAUAUUACUUUAGUUUUUAUUAAAUGUUGAAAUUAAUAAUAUUAUAAUAACAUUAAUCAUAAAACUAAGACUGCCUUGAUGAAAUAACAUGAGGCUUUAACUAGUCCGAGUUCAAGAAAAAAUAUUGGAAGGAGUGACUUAACUUGGCUGAUAAAAAACCCAUGUAAAAAAUAUGUUGAUUUUUUUGAAAAAAUAUUCAAAACAAGGUUGCUUUGAUAUUUAAAAAAAAUAAAAUUGGGUAAGCCGAUUUAACCCUCUCGACCCGUAACCUGAACUUUGUCCUAGAUUGACUUUUGAGUCGAGCUUUAAAAUUAUAAUAAUAAUUAUUUUUAUUCAUAUGUUGACUUGAGUUAACUCGUCUUGACCCUCCUGAUCCGUGACCUAGGUUUUGUCUAUAUCGAUCACAAGUUAAGUUUUAAAACUAUAAUAAUAAUAAUUUUUAUCGUUGCAUUGAUCCAAGGCAACCCGUGUUUAUUCUCUAACCUAUGACCUAAGCCUUGUUCUAGUUGACUUUCGAAUUGGUUCUUAAAACUUGAUAAUAAUUAUUUUUAUUCUUAAACUUACUAGGGUUAACCUGAACUAUGCCCUAAAUCGAUCAUUUGAUUGACUUUAAAAACUAUAAUAAUUAUUAUUUUUAUUUUUUAGAUUGACUGGGAUCAACCUGAACUAUGGCCUAAAUCAAUUCUUGGAUUGAAUUUAAAAAUUAUAAUAAUAACUAUUUUUAUCUUUCCAUGUUUUAAUUAAACAAUUUUAAAAUUAGAAGUUUUGUAUAAUAAUAUUUUAAAAAUAAAAACUAUUAUCUUUGAAAACACAUUUUCUUUAUGUCUCAUAAUUUAAAAUUUAAAAGUAUAUAAAUUCACUUAAAAAUUAUAUCAAAAAUAAUUUUUUUCAUAUUCUUAUAUCUUUAAUCAAAUAUAUUUAUAUUUAUACUUUAUUUAUAAUUUGUUUUUUUCUAGAGAGUAAUCAAACUUUAACUAAGGGUAUCAUUGGAAAAGCAUGAACAUUGUUAAAUAUAGAAGGGAAAAACAUCACAUGCAGCACACGUGACAAAAUAAAGAAAAGAAAACAAGCCAUCGCCAGAAGUAGAACAGAGUAUUGGCAAGUAGGAACACCGAAAAUGGAGAAACAGAGAGAGAGGAUGGAGGAGCUGCUAAAAUUCACUCUUGAAUCCCACAUUAACCAAACCCUAGAAUUCAAUCUAGGACUCUCCAAAUACUUCUGCAUUAACCUCCUCGAAGAAGACCCAAAUGAUAUGUUAUGUCCCUCAACACCAACACCAACACCAACACCAACAGGUAAUAAAAACCAUAUAAGAAAUUAUUUUUCAAGUUAAAGAUUUUAUUUUUAUGCUAAAAUGCUCAAAUGGGCUGCAGAUUCUUUUGAUGGGUUUGCUCUAUAUCCGUUGUAUAAACGUUUAGCUUCAGCUUUGUAUCGGUCUGUAAAGUCUGGUGCUGUAAGUAGAAGUUAUGAGCAGAUGGUGUUUGGUGAUAAAGAUAGCAACUUGAAGCAGAAAAAAGAGAAUUGGGAUCAGUUAAUUAAAGAGAAGGGACUUGAAUUGAUAAAUGUAAGCUUUUGUUUAUAGGUUCUUGAGUAUCUUUAAUUAAUAUUGAUUGGUGAUUAAAGGGUUUUUUUUUCUCUUGAUCAGGUUUUGGAGGGAAUGUAUUGUGAAAUUCAUGUUCAAGAACCUUACUUUUCACUCUUGAAAGGUAUUAUUUUUGUUUCUUUGAUAUGGGGUUUUUCCAUGUUUUUGGCUUUUAAUUUUUUUUUGGAUUGUCUGUUGUUUAUGUGGUUCAAGACAUGUUCUUUAGUAAUAUGGGGUUGUGUGUAUAGAUGGGAGGAAAACAAUCGAAGGAAGGUGUGCUACUGGUGAUUACAUAAGGUAGAUGAUUUGCCAUAUGGUUUAAGUACACCAUCAUGAAUAUUUGCAAGUUAAUGAUUGUGCAAUCUUUAAAGAACUCUGUGCUAGAAAGUGGGUGAAUGUCUGUUGUAGUAGCUUAUGUUCGGCUUGUUUUGAUGCUGUUAGAAUUGAGCCGGGUGAUUUGAUUCUCGUAAACAAAAUUGUGGUACUUAAAGUGGAGGUGAGACCACAUUUAUAAGUUGAAUUCAUUCAUUUUUAUUUCCAGUCUGGUCUAUAGAACAAUUUUAUCUAUUUCAGGAUGUCCGCAGAUAUGCUUCAUUUUUGAAGAUGUUGCAAGCUGAGACUCUCGAGAAAGUCCUUCCUGGAGUUAAAACUGUUGAAGAAGGUAAACCUAGUUUUGUGUUGAUGCUUAGACUGUGCUGUCAAAAUGAUGUUCUUAGUUGAGGCAUUGCAAGGAUGAGUUGCUAGAAUUAAGUUGUCAUGUCUCUUAAUUACAAGUAAUGCUGGGAGUUAAUUAAACUCCAAGACUUUAUUUAACUUGUUAAGUAUAGGGGGCAGGGUUUCUUUUACUUGUGCAUAACAGUUAAUUGUAUUGUAAACUUCUAAAAUGUUCUGGUUUGCAUUUCUGGAAGAAUCUUUACAAUACACUCUUCGCUCCAAGUAAUCUUUUAAAUUCUUUGCAUUGUUUGGAAUGAGAUGUGUUGAAAAACCUGUUACCUGCGAUUGCUUUCUUGAAUUUAUAAGGUCUGAAUUGUAUAACAGUUAUGAUCUGAUGGCAAGCCAGGUGUCAAGAUUUAUAGGAAGUUUUAUACAGAAGAAAAGGAAAUGUCUAAUGGUGUCCUCGCAAUCUGUGUUUCAAAACUGGUUGCCCAGCCAUACCUUUCUUUGGCUAGCAUACUGUUUGUAAGUUUUUCCUGAACUCUUGUGAUUCCUAUGUUUUAUUGCGUGAGACUUAAGCCUGAUUUUUAUAUUGCAGAUCAUCAGGAUAUGUAUGUGACAUGAUAUAUACCAUGCGCAUCAUGUUUAGAAAUAGUCAUAGAUGUCCUGUAAAAUGACACUGAGAGCUAAAAGUUCUGAUUAUUUUGGUGUCUCUAAUUCAGGGAUUAAGUUAUGGAGGUGUUCGGAGUCUACUGGGUCUUGCAGAUACUGGUGGAACAGUUUCUAAUGCCCUAACCCCACCAAGAUAAACGCUUCUCUCAUCCAUCAUUUUCCCUUAUAAUCCAAAUGUAAAAUUAUGGUUCGUUAUGAAUUGUUUCAUGCUUUAUGCUAUCUCCAAAGGUGUUCUUUUAGCUCUUUCUGGGCCCUUUUAUAUAAGAAACUGGAUUGCAUUGAAUUGGUCUGUUCAAAACUUGGAUUAAAAAAAAGUCUUAGUAGAGAACAUGUUGAUAACUUCGUGUCUGCAUGUCUACAUGCAUGAAUGGAUAACAUGCUAGAAAACAAAACAAAAAUGCGUUCAGGUGAAUCAGGAUUGGCUCAGGCUUAAAAUAUGCAAAAUUUUCAAGCAGAACACGAAAGUUAUGCUAAUUGAGGCCUUCUUUUCUUGUGGAUAAAAGAACAUGUUGAUAUAUAGAGAAGAAAUUGCAAGAAAAACCUGGAGAAGACAUCCAAAAAAGUAGAAAAUGAGAGCACCAAAGGCAAUGUAUAAGAGCACUCAAAUCACAUUUAGACCCUACUCUAUGCUAUGUUGUUCUCUGCAUAACAGCUUGGUACCCAGUUGUGUGCCCCUAAACUGAGUGCAUGUAAUGAUGGAUUCCUAAUGAAAUUGACAUAUCGGUGAAUCCAUUCAAAUUAUCAGAGUAGCUUAUUGUGAGAUUUGUGUGGUUUAUACAAGUUGUAUCUCAGUUCUUGUCUUGGAAGUACCUUCAACUAUAACAUCCUAGCCAAAGAGCUGGUAGCUCAAGUGGCACCAUGACUCCCCUCCCGCUCCCUAGAGAUCUUAGGUUUGAACCUCUUCUUUGUAACCAAAAAGAAAAAAGAAAUAAACACUAUAGCAUGCUAGAUUUAUCAGUUAGGACAAUGCUUACCACUCAUCUGCAACUCUUCGUAGAAUUGUUUCUCCAAGGAACUAUCUGGCAAAUAAUCCGGUUUUGUUUGCAUCAAGGGAUUCAAGAGUGUGGAUUUUAUUAAGUUAAUUUUAUUGUUCUUAAACUGACUACUCGACAGUGCCUACAUAUCAUUUCAAACGAAUUUUCCAUCUGAUUAUGGAGAUCUUGCAUGCCUUUUGGAUCUGCCACAGCCACCGCAAACAUUCUGAGAUAUGCUUUGCCAGGCAAAAUCAACUACUCUUCAUCUGCAUUGCCUUCUGAUUUCUGAGCCAAAAAUGAUCGUGGCCACAAAUUUCUUGCUCCUGUAAAAUGGAAAAAGAAAUGCUGAAACUGGCUCUAAAUUACUUUCAUUCUUGAAUGCAAUAGCAUCUAUACAUUUUCUUUUGUUCUUUCUCUGAAUUGAAACGGCCAUACUAGAUUGCUACAGUUUUUUUAAUGUUGAUGUCAGUUCAUGAAAACAAAAAAACAAGUUCUAAAUUGUUGCAAAACUUUGAGUGAUCUGAAGCUCAUAUUGUGAGCUACUGCAAUUCCAGUUUCCAGUAUUAUCGUCAAAUACAAGACAAUCUUUUAAAUUUAUUUAUACAUCAUAUUUACUAGUUUUUUUUUUGUUUUAAUUCUCAUCCAAGACAAUAUGAUUUGAAAUUGAAAUGGAAUUAAUGACUCAAUUUGACAAUCCAACAACCUAAAUAAAAAAAUAAACUAAAAUAGAAAGGGUUGAGAACAAUUAAUUUAUUAUAGCAAAAGAUACAAGACACAAUUUAUUAUGAAUUUGAAAAUAAAAUUAUUAUUUUGCACCUCAAUCAAGUAACAUUUAGCCUAGCUUAGAAAGGUAAUGGUAUUUUUUUUAUAUGAAUAAUAAAAAUAUUAAAAUGUUUUUAGAGAUCAAAUAAAAAAAAUACAUGCCUUCAACCCAGGGCUAUUUUCAGUUUUAUAUAUAUAUAUUUGAAUGAAUAAUAAUAUUACUUAACUGCAUUUUAGAUCAAUCAAAUAAAAAUCAUUGAUCAAGGGGUAUUUAUAUCUUUUUCAAGUUGGUUUUUUGUUUUUUUAAAAGCAUUAUUUUAUUUUAACUAGAAUUAAAUAAUACUAAUUUUCAAAAAAUUGUUUGAAAAUGUGGUUUUUUUCAAUCGUAGAACUUGUCUUUUCAUUUGUCAUCAUACAUCAUGUUUUUUUUUUCUAAUCAGACAUGUAUUAUUGAAGGUUGGGUAAUUUAUUAUUGGUGAAUCUUUAUUCUCCUUUUUUCUCUCUCUCUCUUCCCAUAUAAAUUGCAGAUCGAUCUUUUUUGUUUUUAAUAUUUGUACUUCGAUCCUUCUUUUUUGUCUUCUAACUUUUCUCCUUUGCUCUUUAAUAAGAAUUUUAUUUUCUUUCAAUUAAAUCCUUCAAUUUCAAUUUACAAUAUAUUAUAUUUUUUAUUUUUGAAUUUUUUUAUUUGGCCCUUUUAUAAUUAUUUAUUUCAAUUUCACCCUUCAAUUUAAGUAUACAUUUUUUUUUAAUUUUAACCUUUCCAAAUUCUCAAUUUUUUUUCAAUUGGGUCCUCAUUUUUUAAUUUUUUUUUCUUUUUUGUUGUAAUUAUUUUUCUCUUCAUUUUAACCCUCCAAUGGAGAAUUGUGUUCCUUUUCUUUUAACUUCUUUUAUUUGUCUUUUGUCUUUUUGUAUAAGUGUUAUUUCUUUUCAAAAUAGUCCUUUAAUUUUAAUUUUUCAUGUAUUAUUUUUUUUAUUUGAUCUUUAUUCUUUUGAAUUUUAAUUUUUUUUUCUUUACCUUUUUUAUAAAAAAAUUAUUGGUUUUCAGUCUUACCCUUCAAUCCAAGUUUAUGGUGUGUAAUUUGUUUUUUACCUUUAUUCUCAUUCUUUGGUUUUUUUUUAUUUGAAUUAUUUUUUUAUUCAAUUUAAUCCUCCAUUCAAAAAGUUUUGAUUACCCUUUAAUUUAUUUUUUAUUUCAAUUCUCACUCUCAUUUUUCUAUUAUUAUUUUUUAUUUUAGAUUUUUUUGUGUAGUUAAUUUUUUUUCUCAUUUUGUUCUUUAGUAUUUGUUGACUUGGUCCAAUUGUUUUGUCCAUUUUUUAUCCAAUUCCAUACUUUCAUAUAUUUAUUUUCUAUAGUAUUGUAAUCUUUUUUAAAAAAACAAUUGUCUGAAUAAUAUCAUUAUCUAUUCUUUUAUUUUCUAAUUAAAAUAAAAUUAACUUAUUAAAGAUGAUAUGACAUGAGUUGUUGAUUCCUCUUUUUUUUUCUUGAAACGUGCAGAAAAACAUUAAAUUUUACACACAAAAAAACAAACCCACAACGUAGCGUGUACCAGAGCCUAGUUCUAGGCUAAAUGAGAGUCCGAACCAAAUACAAUAACUACAAGUUUUUCUGCACAUGCUACCAGACUACAUAUGACUAGUCAUGAUGGAGUAGUUUGGUAAGUUCAUGAAAAACAAUGUCUUAUUUUAUAAGGGUUUUUUUUUAGUCCUUGCUCAUUAAAGGAUUUAUAUCUAAUUAUUUGAUGAUUUUAUUUCAUUUAUGAACUUGUCCAGAUUAAUGGAUGAUGACCCUUCUGGUCCAACAGCCUCUUCAGCCAACCUUUUCCAUUCCAUGGCGUUUUCCCUCAUUUUCGCACCCUUCUCUCCUUCCAUUAGCUCCUUCACAAGCAUCCCCACUUCUUCUCUUUUGACAUUUUUAUCAAUCUCCAUGCCAACUCCCCAUUCAUUGCAGCUAUAUUUACAGUUCAUUGGUUGAUCUCCAAAGAAGGGCCAGCACAACAUCGGUACACCAGCACUCAAGCUCUCAAUGGUGGAACCCCAGCCACAAUGAGUUAGGAACCCUCCUACAGAUGGAUGGUUAAGUACUUCCUCUUGUGGACACCAGCUAGCAAUGAAGCCAUGCUUCUGAGUUUUCUCUGUGAAUUCUGCUGGCAAAACAGAUGAUUCACCACUGACCAAAUCUGGCCUUAUAAUCAACAAGAAUGGGAUCUGGCUAUUAGCUAGUCCCAUCGCGAAUUCCACUAGUUGAUCAGUUGCCAUCACUACAGUGCUUCCAUAAUUCACAUACACCACUGAGUUGGGCUCCUUUGUGUCCAGCCAUUGGAGACACUUGCUUUCUUCUUUCCAUAGACUGUAUCCAAUAGACUUCAAACUAUUUUCCUCAAUCUGAUUGAGGAAUAACUGGAGUGGACCGAUGGAAUAAACAUGAGAGAAUUCAGUGGAAAGGGCACCCAGAGCUUCUGGCUCCAGGGCAUCAAAAGUAUGGAAAGCAAUUGCACGAGCUUUAACAGAGGUCUCAGCAGCUCCCAUGAGAAAAUUAAAUAUAAUAUCAUCUGGAUCUGUUGUUUCAAUAAACGGAAAAUGUUUAAGACGAAGACCUUUUAUACCAGGAACCCAGUCUACAUUCGUGUCGAGGUAGCCGUUGCUUAGAUAGCUCACAUCUGCAAAACACAAUCUUAUCAGACCGGACUCAAGAAUGAAAAUCUAUUGAAUGCAUAGGAUAAUCGAUCUAGCUGAUUUAUGAUCUUGUAACGCACGUAUGAAGUCACUCCAAGUGAUAGAUCAGGUAGUUAAGGAUGGUUGCUCCCUUUCUACACUUCCUAAGUUUAGACGUUAAGGCCAACAUAUACGAGAGUUUUUUUCUCUGAAUUCAACAAGUUAAUGCGGGGAAUGAACCCUUUUAUAGAACAAGUGUGUGCGUGCAAAUUUAUUACCUUUGAUUGGGGAGAAGCCUCUCUCUCUGAGAGCAUAGAGUUGCUUGAAUCCUAUGUAACCAAUUGCACUCACAGUAGCAUACAUUACAACUGGAAGACCGACAUCUUCCCCAGCUUGGAUGGAGAAAGGAGCAAAAGGAUCUGAAACUAUGGAAGUAACAGGAGGAUUGUUCUCGGACACAGUGUUUCGGAGCCUCACAAGAAGAUCUUUAAAGGGUGCUAAGAAAUUCUUGUUCAGGGCGACACAAAGAGAAGGUAUGUCUUGGGUGGCAUCGAUAUCUGAAGGAGGAAGACCAUCAGGAAUGGUUUCAAAAUGAAAGCCAGGCAGGUUAUCAAGGGCAACAGCUCCUCCUGACCUAAGGAUACGUUUGUGAUUGAAUUCUGUGUUGACAAAUGUUAUGUGCAAGCCCUUACAGUGAAGAAGCUUUGCAAAUUUAAGCAUGGCCUUUAUAUGACCUUGAAACGGACUUGGGAUCACGACUGCAUGAGGCUUGGAAUUGGAUCCCAUAUCUCUCACUCAAUUCCCUUCUUCCUGGGUUGAUCACCAUGUUCGAUCAUCAACGUACUUUAUAGCUCGAAAUACCCCCGGUUUUUAGAAUAUAUUUGGAAAUGUGAUUGUGGUAGCUCGUGUUUUCACGCAAGCUCCUGGUCGCAUUAAUGAAUGAAAUUACUUAGCCUAAUUGAUAUCUUCAUUUAAGAAGGAUCAAGGAAAUUAGAAACUUGGAAAUUGUUUGUCUAUCUAAUCACAAAGUCAAUCGUGCUGAAGAUUAAUCAACGUUUUAACCAUUUCCUUGAAAAAAUCACUUCAUCCUUAUCCCUGUCCCGCUUAUUGCACUUGAGAGCUGUGGAAAAAGCUAGAGAAGCAGAAAAUAUCUAAGACAUAUUCGUAGAAUAUUCAUUUCUGGCCACUUCUCAUAGAAUCAUUGAAGCCAAUAGGGUAUACUUACAGCUAUGGGAAUUGAAUGUAGGGCUGAAAUGUUUUUCACGUUUUUUUUUUUUGAAAAAGAAUAGAGAAAAAUAUAAAAUCAAUAUAUUUAAAAUAAUUUUAUUAUGAAUUUAUAUAUUCUUACACCAAAAAUAUAUUUUUUUUAUUUCAAAACAGUAUCCAAUGACUAGUUGUUGGCUAUACUGGCAUAACAAGGGCUUAUGCAAUAAGGCACGACAACCUUCAUGUUUAGGAUCCCAAUGAUUAGUGGUUUUCGAAUAUAAUUUAAAAAGACCAUGAAAAUAUACUAUGUCACUGAUGCAUAAGGUAUCUGUAAUUAAUAUCUUACAAAAAAAAAAAAAAACUAUGAGUAACUUUCUAAGUUUGACUUCAUACAAAAAAAUACAAAAAACGCUAGCUUUAUUUUAAUCUUCUUAGAUUUUAAUUUUAAAGUUAAAAAUAAAAAAUAUUAUUUUUUUCUAAGUAGACUAAAUCGAUGUGAAGGGUCUAUUUUUAAAAUCAUUAAAAAAACUUAAAUUAACUAAAAAUAUUAUUAUUGUCUUAAUCUUAUCAAAAAGUCAGGUAUACCAAAAAUUUAGGUAAUAAAGCACGACAACUUUCGUGAUUAGGAUUGAUCCCAAUGACAAGUGGUUUUCGAAUAUAUUAUCUCACUCAUGCAUAAGGAAUCUGUAAUUAAUAUAUUAGGAAAAAAAAAUAUAACUAUGAGUACUUUCUAAGAUUGACUUGAAAGUAAAAAAUACUUGCUUUAUUUUUAAAUUUUUAGAUUUUAAUUUUAAAGUUAACAAUAAAAGAAUUAUUAAGUUUUUUUUAAUGCACUGUGAAGAGUUUUUUUUUCCUAAAAUCAUUCAAAGAAAAAGCUUAAUUUAAAUUGAUGUUAAAAUUAACUUGUCACCCAUGACAUAAAAUCAAGAUAAAAAAAAAAUAUUUUUUCAAAUAACUUAGAAAAAAUGAUCAAAGUUAAAUAAAUAAAAAAACAUUAAAAAAAAAAAUUUAAGUUACUCCGGGUUAAUUUAACUAACCCGCAACCUAAGAUAACUUCAUAGAAAAAAAAACAUAAAAAAUCAAAAAGCUUAAGAUCUAGUAACCUAAUAUAAAAAAAAAAUUAAAAAAAAAUAUUAAUAUCAUGGUUUAAAUUCGGUAUAAAAAAUACUGUAUUUGCAUGGUUUUAAAACAUAAUUUCUAAUAUCAUGUUCCCUCUUGAUCAUGACCUAUUCCGGGAGAGGGAGAGGGAGGGAUUUAAAAGUUUAGAAAUUAUGCUAUGCAUACAAAUAAAUUAUAUUAAAUUUUUAAAUAUAUUAUAAUGUUAGGUGAUAAGCAGUGAAGUAUAGGUCUCAAAAAUAUUAAACAAUUGGACAAGCAUGAAAGCGUAAUUAGCACAUUUUAUAUAAAAAAAAAUUAUAUGAUUUUCUUAUAGCAUCGCUCUUAAAAUAUAUAUGGUGGCAAAAGGAGGGUUAAUUUUGUUAAAUAAUAUAGAAAUUAAUAUAUUAUUUUGGUGAAAUAUAUCUUAAAAAAUGCCAAGAUAUAGAAUACAUUGAUGAAAAUGGCUAUACUUUUCUUGAUCUUGCCGCCUUCCAUUUUAGAAAGUUGACGUUUACACAAGGGGUAGAAUACGAACAACAGAUAUUUGUAAUGCAAUUUGAGAACGGAAUGUUGAAAAUACCACGCUUGGAAGUUCAUGAUUCCUUGGAACGUUUUGCACGAAAUGUCAUGGCAACUACUUUAAGAUUGUAAUUCCUUAGCUGGACAGUAUUUGAAGGAGAAGAGAACAAAAGAUAGGCAGAGUUUGUUUCUUUGCAAUUGCUUUUCUUAAGAAUAUAAGUUGGAGUGCGUCUUUUGCAGAGAGAUUCUGUGUUGCUAGUUACAUGUUAUUCUUAUUAGACCUCAAAAGUUUCAUGGUCUUUAAUGCUUUACCUAACGCUAUUCAGGUUGAUCCCUUUUUCUUAAGGGGAAAAAAAAAACCCUUUAGUUAAUUAGAUUAUAAAUGAUAUAAGUUAAAUAAAUCUUUAAAAAUUAAAAAUAACCAUAUAAUUUAACAAUAAAAUAAAACAGGAGAAAGGGAAAACCUAUCGCAAAAAUUAAAAAAAAAAAGAAGUAAAAAUAGUAUUUUCUUAAAAAAUAAAUUAUCCAUUGACUAGUAAAUAUAUUUGCCUUCGUGUUAAUGCCAAGAUUUGUAAUUACCAGUCCUUGCUUAUAUAUAUUUGGCCCAAGCAGGGGGUUGAUAAGAGCAGGAUAUCAUCCAGGGAGAGAGAGAGAGGCUGCAAUAGGAAAGAGGCCGGCUGCCUCGGAUCAUAUAUAACAGAUAUAGUCGUCCGAUCAUCGAUCUCUCCAAGGUCAGCCCUGGCUUACUAGUUUUUUUAAAAAAUAUAUAUAUAUAUAUAUAAAAUUUUGAUAAUGCGAAAUGCUGAUGCUGGUAACCUGGUUUACUACUUAAACAACUGGUUCUUUCUACUCUGUUACUUGUACGUUCUAAUUAGUUCUUCAUUAAAAAGUUUAGCUACAGUACCCGGACCUUAAUUUUCAGGGAAAAAGUCCGGGUAGAAAGCAUUAUAUAUAUAUAUAAAAGUUUCAUGAAACUAUAUUAAAAAAUAAUAUAAAUAAUAUCUUUAUGUGAUAACAAACUAUUGUUAAGAUAUUUCAUUGAAACCCUCUUCCUAUAUUGUCUUAUUUUAACACUAGCUUUGUUUCAUGAAAUAUAGAAAAAAGAAAAAGUGAGGUAGGAUAGCAACCGAAUUGGGAUGUGUGUCAUGAAUUAGAAAACAACAGUAUCCCUGGUAGACAAAAACAACAUCGAUCAAAAAUAAUAAACUAAGGCAUCGUCCUCAUCAUGAUUAUGAGCAUCUCAGUAUCGAUUGAAGACGGUUGAUUGAAUUUUUCUUUUAUUAACUUAGCUGUACGGGUUAGUGUAUAUAUAUUUUGAUUAAUUUUAUAAGUUAUGAAGUUAAUAAUUAUGUAAAUAUUUAAUGAUUUUGUGAUUAGUAAAACUCGAAUUAAUAAAUUUUAAAAAAUAAACUUAAAAUUUAAUGAAUUAAAAUAUACCUUUUAAAUCUUAGUUGAUCUAAACUUUAUGUACAUGGGUUGGGACUUGUUGUGAGGACCGAAAAGUAUAUUGAACUGGACAAAUAUCCAACGAUCCUUCUAAAAACGGACAAGAAUGAAGUACAAGUUGCAUUAUUGUGUUUAGUGAUGAGCAGUGAAGUACAAGUCUCGAGCAUAUUAAACAAUUGGACAAGAAUGAAGAGAGUAAUUAUCACAUUUUAUACAAGAAAUUUAUACGAUUUUCUUAUAGCAUCGCUCUUAAGAUUUACAUGUUGGUAAAAAGUGCCUUAAUAUUGUGAAAUAAUAAAGAAAUUGCUAUAUUAUUUUUGUUAAAAUAUAUCUCAAAAGUGCCUUAUUCUGGAACUAUACACCUGCCAUUCAUUCUUGGUUUUGUUUUGUUACCGAUCCAGAAUGGGAAAGGAUAAAUUUACUGCAAGUGAUUCAAACAUGAAAAAUGAAGUUGAAGGGGCAAGUGCAUCGAAUAUUGAAGAGGACAAGGCAAGUGCUUCAGACAUUGACGAGGAUACUAACAAGGCAAGCGCUUCAAAUAUAAUGGACAGAGGAUAUGAUGAUAUUGACGACGGAAAACGGAAAUUUCGACAUAUUUUGCUAGAGGUGGAAGAAUUAAUAAAGAAGUUGCCCCCUCAAAAGGACCGGGCUGAUGAAUGCUGUAUCUACAGGGUUCCCAACUCACUUCGAGCCAGAAAUCCGGAAGCCUUCACUCCACAGCUGAUUUCAAUAGGUCCUUUUCACUGCGAUGAUGAAAGAGGACAGUCCAUGAAACAUAUAUAUCUACGAGAGUUCCUUAAAAGGAAUGCCAUGGAUGAUAAAUUUUCUAAGAAGAAUUCAGAAAAAAGUAGAGAGUAUCCGACUCUGUUAUUCAGAGAGCUGCUUCACCUAUACACGAGAAUUUGUAAGGAUGAUCGUGCUGGAUGCUGUCUUCAUCAUUGAGUUUUUGAAGGAUUCAUAUGAUGAUGACUUUCCUCAAACUGUUGAUACCAGGAUGAUAUCUUGCAUAGGAGAAGACUUGAUGCUACCUGAAAACCAACUACCUUUCUUCAUUAUCGACUAUAUAUAUAGCGAGUUUUAUCACCCUCGCCAAAACAUUACUUUUCUUGAUCUUGCCACCCGUCAUUUUGGAAAGUACCCAUUUGCACAAGGGCCAGAAUCCACACCACCGACAGAUGUAAGGCAUUUCACUGAUUUACUAAUGAAAUUAAUGUUGAAAGGAGCCCUCGAGCGAGACAAUUGCUCUAAGCCUCCUAUCAAGCUGAAAUAUAGCGCCGUCACGCUUCGCAAAGGAGGAGUGAAGUUUCAGGUCUCCGAAGACAAGUGUUUGUUCAACGUACAUUUUAAGAACGGAGUGCUGAAAAUACCACUCUUGGAAGUUGAUGAUUCCUUCGAACGUUUUGUACGAAAUGUCAUGGCCUUGGAGUACUGCUCCAAACCGAGUGAAGCUCGCAUGGUCAGCAACUACUUUAAGUUUAUGGACCAUCUUAUUGACAGGGCAGAAGACGUGGCUUUGCUAGCUGAAGAGGGAAUUAUUAAGAACUGGCUAGGUGAUGACGCCGCAGUUUCAAAGUUGAUGAACAACCUUAGCCAACGUAGUGAAAAAACUUGUUAUUAUAGUGAUAUCUGUCAAACGCUGAAUGCCUACCAUGAGAACCCCUGGAACCGUAGAAAGGCAACCUUGAAACUCGUAUAUUUCAGCAAUCUUUGGAGAGGUACGGGAACUAUUGCUGCAGCUUUCCUUCUAAUCCUCACUUUGAUACAGACUAUAACUUCCCUGAAAUCGUCAUUCUAGGAUUAAAUCUUGUUUAUUUCUAUUAAUCCUACGCAAUAAUUGAUGGGUUUGUUAUUGUUGUAUUCCUUAGAAAUUGUUGUUUUAAUCUAGUUCAAAGCUCGCGUAGUUCUAAUGUAGCUAUUUCUUGUUGUAUUGUCCUGAAACUGAUUCUGUACCUGUUCCCUGUGUGAUGUCCUUUCCUCUCAAAUCUCUCUUCUUUUAAGCUCUUCUUCUGAUUAAAUAAAGCUGAAGAAUGCAUGAUCUCUAUUUUCACUUGAUCAUGGCAACUGUGAAGCCUUAAAUCCUAAACUAGUCGAAUUAUGCCAAGUAAAUACCACAAGUCAAUAUUGGCAUUAAUUUCCAGAUUCAUAAGCUAUCGACCUCACAACCAGGAUUUCCUGAAGAACUUCCAUCAAUGUCAAUUUCUUUGCAUCCUGCGGAGGACCUAACCACGAAACCGAACACGUUUUUUAAUGAACAACUAGGUUCGAAUCCCUCUUUUGCAACCAAAGAAAAAAAAAAUACUAUGGUUUCUCUGGGUCAAUUUUGUUGCUCUCCAUGACAAGCAUUUUGAUCCGUGAUUCCUUGACGCCAUGCUCAUUCAUCAACCAUAGCUCAAAACUGUCGUCGUCGUCAAGACCACAAGAAUAGAUGGAGUUUUCAUAAACUCCAAUUUCUAUAUCCCAGCAAUAGUUAUCCAGAGAGUGAGAAUGAUCUAAAUUUCUCGUUUCCAAGAUCAAACGCACAUAUUACAGUAGUGUUAAUCAAUGUUAAUGGUUUCAUAACGAUCAACUAUAUAACAUCCAUAAAUGAACAUGGCGAAAGAAGGCCAACAAUCUGGGUAGCCUUGACAGCCGAGGACUUCUCCAGGUGCCAGUCUCGAUUAUGAAUACCUUAGCAGGAAUUCAGAAGAAUCUAUUGACUCAUAAACUCUAAUAACCUUAUCAAUUUAUGUGGUUAAUUUAUACACGAUCCAUGUGCCUCUAUAAAUUUAUCUAUAAUAUAAAGUUUCCAAAAAUUUCAAUGUCACCCUAAACUAAUAAUAAAACCCCAAUCCCUUUUGAGAGCCGAAUGCCUCUGAUCUCUACCGUAGGCGUCGAAGAAGAAUAAAAAUAAAAAAAAGCCCCCAAAAAAGAAGAAAAAAACAUGAAUGGAGUUUUAAACAACCCAUAUUUUGAAUUUUCUUUUUUAAAAAAGGUUUUCAAUUUUGUUUUAGAUAUUAUUACACAUUGAAGAUUCUUGAUAAUUUUUUAAAAAUAUAUAUAUUAAAAAGAUCAUAUUUUUCUUUUUGUUAGUUACCAUGUGUUUAGUAUUAAUGUGUAAAAUGCCUUUUAAAAUGCUUUUUACAGUGAAAAAAAAAAAUUAGUAUAGACACGUACCAGUCAAAUGCCAACGCUCUAGUACUUUCUCUCAUUGACUUAGAAUAGGUAUUUACUAUAUUUUUUCUUGCACUGUACCACUGAUUAAGUUAAAUUUUUUUAAUAUAAAAAGAUGAUUAGAUGAUGAUAAUUUGAGUUAAAAUGAUAAAUACGUGUGACAUAAAAUUGGGAUAUUUAAUAAAAAAAAAAGGUGAAAAAAAACUUACAAAUUUGAAGGGCCAAUAUCUUAAUUUCAAAUGAUAAAAUUUAAAAACAAAUCUCAAAGAAAAAAAUUCUGAGUCGGCAUGAGUUCACUUAACCAACCCGUCACCCGCUUCAUAAAAUCAGGAUAAAAAAUAUUUUUUUUAGAAAUGACCUAGAAAAAAGGAUCGAACAUAAAUAAAUAAAAAAUUGAAAAAAAAAUUGAAUCACCCCAAAUUAACUUAACUAAUAUGCAACUCAGGAUAACACUAUGGGGAAAAAUGCAUAAAAAAUAAAAAAAGCUUAAUACCCAAUAAUUUAAUAUUAAAUGAUGAAAUUUAAAAAAAAUUAAAAAAACAUUGAAAAAAAAUUCGAACCAGUCUAUAUUAACUUACUAACCCGCGACUCAAGAUAACUCCCAUAAAAAAAAAAGUGAAAAAAAAUAAAAAAGCUCAAGGCUUAAUAAUUUAAUAUCAAAUGAUAAAAUUGAAUUUUGUUAUAUAAAAAAAAACUAAAAUUAAACCGGGCUACUCUUCAAAAUUAAUGAUAUGGUUGGAUAAAAAUAUUGAGGGAUUAAAUUGAGAAAAAAAAAACAGUUAAAAGAAUUAGGACUAAAAUUAUAUUAAAAAAAAGAAAUAAAAUGUUUAGAAAUAAAAUUCAAAACAAAAUUAAGAAAAAGAUUAAAAAAAAGUGAAAUUAAAAAAUGAGGGCAAAAAUUGGAUUGGAAAAAUUAAUGAAAUAAAAUGUUAUGUAAAAAUAUCAAGAAAAUAAUAAAAAAAACAAUUAAAAAAAUAAGUAUUAUAUUUUAUAUAAAAAAUAAAAUCAAAUUGAAAAUAAUAAAAUUCAAAAAAAUUCAAAACAAAUAAAGAACAUUAAAAAAAGUUAAUGGGAAGAUAACUUCUGAAUUUUUGCUAACCCAGUACGGAUAGGUACAUCCGAGUCACAUGUCAGUGCUCUAGUGCUCUCUCUCAUUGACUUGUUUAGGUAUUUACUAGAAAGAUUACUCGUAUUAUGUUAGUGGUCGAGUCAAAUUUUGUUUAAUAAAAAAUAAUAAUUAAGUGAUUAUAAUUUGAGUUAAUAUAACUAACACUUGUAAUAUGAGAUUGGGAUAUCUAAUAAAAUAAAAAAUAAUAAUAAAUUACUUUAAAAUUUAAAGUCUAACAACCUAACUUCAAAUGAUAAAAUUAAAAGAAAAAACAAAAUCAAAUUCAAAAAAAAAACCUCGAAAAAAAAAUCUGAGUCAACAUGGAUUCACUCAACUAACUUGUCACCUGUGACAUAAGAUUAGAUAAAAAAAAUAUUUUUUUAAAUGAUUUUAAAAAAAUGAUCAAAGUUAAAUAAAAAAAAAAACUUUGAUAAAACAAAUAUGAGUCACUCCGGGUUAACUUAACUAACCCGCAACCUGAGAUAACUCCAUAGAAAAAAAAAAUAUAAAAAAUAAAAAUGCUUAAGAAAUCAAAAGGCUUAAGAUCUAGUAACCUAAUAUAAAAAAAAAUUGAAAAAAAAAUUAAUAUCAUGUUAUAAUAUCAUGGUUUAAAUUCGGUAUAAAAAAUACUGUAUUUGCAUGGUUUUAAAACAAAAUUUCUAAUAUCAUGUUCCCUCUUGAUCAUGACCUAUUCCGGGAGAAGGGAAAGGGAGGGAUUUAAAAGUUUAGAAAUUAUGCUAUGCAUACAAAUAAUUUAUAUUAAAUUUUUAAAUAUACUAUAAUGUUAGGUGAUAAGCAGUGAAGUAUAGGUCUCAAAAAUAUUAAACAAUUGGACAAGCAUGAAAGAGUAAUUAUCACAUUUUAUACAAAAAAUUUAUAUGAUUUUCUUUUAGCAUCGCUCUUAAAAUUUACAUGGUGGCAAAAGGAGGCUUAAUUUUGUUAAAUAAUAUAGGAAUUACUAUAUUAUUUUGGUGAAAUAUAUCUUAAAAAAUGCCAAGAUAUAGAAUACAUUGAUGAAAAUGGCUUUACUUUUCUUGAUCUAUCAAGCUGAAAUAUAGCAUGUUGAAAAUACCAUGCUUGGCAAGGCAGGAGUCAAGUUUAAGGUCUCCAGAGACAACUGUUUGAUCAAUAUACAAUUUGAGAACAGAGUGUUGAAAAUACCACGCUUGGAAGUUCAUGAUUCUUUCGAACGUUUUGCACGAAAUCUCAUGGCCUGGGAGCAGUGCUACAAACCGGGUGAAGCUUAUAUCAGAGUUUGUUUAAUAGUACAGUUGCUAUUGCUUUUUAAAUAAUUUUUUGUGUCGAAAUAGAUUUUGAAUAUAUUAUCUCACUCAUGCUUCGAAGGCAGGAGUCAAGUUUAAGGUCUCCAGAGACAACUGUAUGAACAACAUACAAUUUGAGAACGUACUGUUGAAAAUACCACGCUUGGAAGUUAAUUAUUCUUUCGAACGUUUUGCACGAAAUGUCAUGGCCUGGGAGCAGUGCUACAAACCGUAUGAUCGCUUGCUAAGUUUAUGGACCAUCUUGUUAAGACUGCAGAAGACGUGGAUUUGCUAGUUGAAGAGGGAAUUAUUCUCAACUGUCUACGUGACAGUGCAACAGUCUCAAGUUUGAUUAACAAUCUCUGCCAACAAAUUUGUGAAACUUAUUCUUAUUAUAGUGAUAUCUGUCGAAGGAUGAAUGAGCACUAUGAGAACCGCUGGAAAGGCAACCUUGAAACUUGUAUAUCUCAGCAAUGUUUGGAGAGGUACGGGAACUGUUGCUGCACCUAUAUAUCCAGCUAAUCUUCACUUUGAUACAGACUAUAAUUUCCGUAAAACCAUCAUUCUAAUAUUGGACAGGACAAGGGAAGUGCUUCAAAUAUGAACAAGGAUGACACCGUAACAAGAUUUUCAGAAGAAGAAAGGAACCUUCAAUAUAUUUUCCAACGGCUGAAAGAUAAGUUAAAGAGGUUGACCCCUCAACAGAGUAGGCCUGAGUGCUGUAUCUACGGGGUUCCCAGCUCACUUCGAGACACGAAACCGGAAGCCUACUAUCCACAACUGAUUUCAAUAGGUCCUCUUCACCACGGUGAUACAAGACUAAUGGCCAUGGAAGAGGAGAAAUUAAGAUACUUAAAAGAGUUAAUUGAACAGAGUGAGAUGGUUGAGCUGAUAAUUAAAGAAUAUAUGUUCUGAGCUACUUUCAGCAAAUGGAAGAGAAUAUCCGAAGCUGUUAUUCAGAGAGCCUCAUGGAAAUUAAUAGCUGUGAUUUCAUAGAGCUAAUCCUGCCGGAUGCCAUCUUCAUCAUUGAGUUUUGAAGGAUUCAUACGUCCUAAAAAAUUUGAUCGCAGGAUGACAUUUUGCUUACGAGAAGACUUGAUGCUACUUGAAAACCAACUACCUUUCUUCGUUAUCGACCAUAUUUAUCACGAUCUCAAUCAUAUCAUACAUACAAAAGACAUUCCUUCUCUAGAUCUUGUCGCCCAUCAUUUUCUAUGGUUCCAGAUUACCCAAGGGCCAGAAUCCAAACAACGGAUAGAGGUAAGGCAUUUCACUAAUUUACUAAGGAAUUUGUACGUUGAAUGGAGCCCUCGAGCGUCGUAAUUACCUCUUAGAUUGUAAUUCCUUAGCUGGACAGUAUUUAAUGGAGAACAGAACAAAAGAUAGACAGAGUUUGUUUCUUUGCAAUUGCUUUUCUUAAGAAUAUAAGUUGGAGUGCGUCUUUUGCAGAGAGAUUCCGUGUUGCUAGUUACAUGUUAUUCUUAUUAGAUUCAACGAGAGGUUGAGCCAGGUAGCAUUUACAUCAACAUGUCAAGUGCUUCAGACAUUGAUGAGGAUACUAACAAGGCAAACGCUUCAAAUAACAAAAUGGCUUCGGACUUGGACGAAGGAUAUUAUGAGAUUGGCAGCAAAGACCGGGAACUUCGAAAUAUUUGGCUAGAGCUGGAAGGAUUAAUGGAGUUGCCCCCUCAAAAGGACCGGGCUGAUGAAUGCUGUAUCUACAGGGUUCCCAACUCACUUCGAGUCAGAAAUCCGGAAGCCUACACUCCACAGCUGAUUUCAAUUGGUCCUUUUCACCACAAUGAUGAAAGACUAGAGGCCAUGGAAACGCUGAAAAGAAAAUAUCAAGGAGAGUUCCUUAAAAGGAAUAACAUGGAUGAGAAGAAAUUUAUGGAUUUUCUAAGAAGAAUUCAGAAAAAAGAAGAGAGUAUCCGACUCUGUUAUUCAGGGAGCUUCGGAAUCCAAAAACCUCUCAACAUACCUGGGAAGGUUCGCAAUGACAUCGCACUCUCGCAAGGGAGUACACCAAUUUUUUAAGUGGUGUUUGAAAUUCUUUUUUUGGUGCUUUUUAAAAAUAAAUUUUACAUGAAAACAUUAAAAUGAUAAUUUUUUAGUAUUUUUAAAUAAUUUAAAAGUAUUAAUAUUAAAAGUUAGCUCUUAAUUGACCCAAAAACUUUGAUUUUCUUGUAAUUUUAUUUCUAAUUUCAAUCAAUUGAUUUGGUAAAAAGUAAAUUUGAUAUUUUACAAUUCCAAUCUUCCCAAAUAAGUUCACAUUAGCCUUCCAAACUUAAUUUUUUAUCAAUUAAAAUAAAUAAAUAACUUAUCUUAAUAUAUAAUUUCAAAUGAAAAAUUAUUUUAAAAAACAUGUCAUUUAACAAUUCAAAACUCCAAACACAUACCUACAGGCUACAGCGACCAGCAUGGCUGCUUGGAAUGAAAAGGAGGAUGAAAAAUAACAAAUCAAUGUAAUCUCAAACGCGCAAUGUAUAUUUGGCCCAACCAAGGGGUCGAUAAGCAGAGCAAGACAUAUCAUAAAACGCCCAAUUCAUAUUGAUCCCUUUGUCCUAAAAAAAGACCCCUUUAGUCAAUUAGAUUAUAAGUUAAAUAAAUUCUCCGUUGACUAGUAAAUACGAGAUGAAAUGUCCGCGCACUGCCACGGGCUUAUAAAACAAAUACACUUGAUAGUGUUAUAAUUGUGAACCAAUGCUAGAUAAAUAAUAGAAAUUAAAGGUAUGAUAGAGCAAAUAUUUCAUGACGGGAAAAAAAGUUGUGAUGGUGAUCAAAAACUCAGAGAUUAAACAAAAUGAUUUGUAGAUAUUUAUAGUGUUUUGUGAGGAAAGAUACAGUGCUUUCACUAUAUGAUUUAGCUUUUUAGUUAAUAAAAAGAAAAAAAAAUUACAAAGCUAAAUUCUCUAUCAACUUAAUAUUAAAAAACAAAACCAAUAAAGAUAAUUUUGGAAGGAAAAAAACCCAUGAGAAAAAAUAUUGCUGCAAUUGACAAUGUUCUGUAAGGAAAACUAUAGCGCUUUUCCCAAUAAAAUAAAAUAAAAAACCAUUUAGAGAAAUAUUGUAGCAAUCCACAGUGUUUUGUGAGAAAAAACUACAACGCUUUCCUCAUAUGAUUUAGCUUUAUUGUAAUUAUAAUUUUUAACCAACUCAAUAUUAAAAAAAAAUCGACAAGAUAAUUUUGGAAAAAAAUUAAAAAAAAUCACAUGGAAAAACACUGCAACAAUUCAUAGUGUUUUAAAAAAUAUAAAACUUAAAAUUCUUAAUCAGCUCUAAUAAUUAAAAAAAAAUCGUCAGAGACAAUUUUAGAAAAAAAAAAACAAAACAAACACCAAAAAAAGAGGAAAAUCAUGUUGGAAACACUGUAGCAAUUCACAGUGUUUUGUGAUGAAAGCUACAGUGCUUCCCCACAUGAUUUAGCCUUAUUUGUAAUGACUUAUAAUUGUAAUUCACAAACAACUCAAUAUUCAAAAAAAAAUAAAAUUGAAAAGGAUAAUUUGAAAAAAAAUUAUAACAAAAAAAACCAUGCGGAGAGACACUGUAGCAAUCCACAAUGUUUUAUGAGCAAACUACAAUGCUUUUCCCACAUUUGAUUAAGCUUUAUUACAAAAGUUAAAUCUUCAAACUCAAUAUUAAAAAAAAUAAAAUGGACGAAGAUAAUUUUGGAAAAAAAUAUUACAAAAAAGAAAACACAAAAGAAACUGAAAAAAACCAUAUGAGAAAAAUUGUUUAAUCCAUAGUGUUUUGUGAGGAAAAACUUGUAAUUGCAAUUCUUAACCAGCUUCAAUAUUUAAAAAAUAAAAUUGACAAAGAUAAUUUUAAGGAAAAACAUCAUAAAACAGGAAAAAACCAUGUGAGAAAACACUUGUAGCAAUCAACAGUAAUUUUCGAGGAAAUUUACAGUGCUUUCCUCACAAUUAUAACUGUAAUUUUUAACCAGCUCCAUAUAAAAAAAUUAAAAAAAAAAAAAAAAAAAGAUAAUUUCGGAAAAAUAAAAAAAAAAAUCAUGCAGAGAAACAUUGUAAAAAUCAACAAUGUUUUAAAGAAAAAAAAUUACAAAACUAAACUCUCAAUCAGCUCAAUAUUAAAAAAAAUCGACAAAUAUAAUUUUGAAAAAUAAAAAAUAAAAUAAAAAAAUAUGUGGAAAAACAUCGCAGCACUCCACAGUAUUUUAAAGAAAAAAAUUAGAAAGCAAAAAUUUUAACCAAAUCAAUAUUUAAAAGGUAAAAUCAACAAAAAUAAUUUUGGAAAAAAAUUAAUAAAAAAUGAAAAAAAUAAAAAAUAGGAAAGUUGAAAAAAAAAAGUAAAUUUGAAAAAAAAAAAAAAAAAGAAACGAAAAAAAGAGAGGAAAAGUUAGAAAAAAAAAAAAAAAAGGAGGAAAGCACUGUUAAAAAUGAAAAAAUAGAAAAGUUGAAAAAAAAAAUUUGAAAAAAAGAAGAAGAAAAGAAACGACAAAAAAAAAAGGAAAAGUUAGAAAAAAAAAAAAAGAAAGCACUGUGAAUUACUGUUGUAAUUCACAGGGUUUUGUGUGUGGGGGAACAGUGAUUCCCCCACACUAUUUAGAGUGUUGUAUAAUAUAAUAAUAUUUUCCUCUUUAUUAUUGUCAUGAUUUGGAGGGUUGAUAGGAGCAGGAAGCCAUCCAAGGAGAGAGAGGCUGCAGCAGGAAAAAGAGGCCGGCUGCUGCUUGGGAUCAUAUAUAAAAGAUUUAGUCGUCCGAUCAUCGAUCUCUCCAAGGUCAGCCCUGGCUUACUAGUUUUUCUUUUAAAUAUAUAUUUAUGUACAGAGAGAGAGAGAGAGAGCCUAGACCGAAGAGAAGUCAGCUAGAUUUUGAUCUUGUAAAAUGCUGAUGCUGUUAACUCGGUUCACGACUUAAAAAAGCUUAGCUACAGUACCCGGACCUUAAUUUACAGGGAAAAAGGUCCGGGUAGAAAGCAUUAUAUAUAUGUGUGUGUGUGAGAGAGAGAGAGAGAGAGAGAGAGUUUCACAAAUCGUUGAAGUUCGUUUCUUGCUCUGGCUUUCUUGCCUGUAUGAAACGGCAUAUAAUAAUUAUCUUCUUCUUUUUUAUGCUAGCACUUUAUAUAUAUAAAUGGUAUGGAUGAAGACAAUUGAUUGAAACCUUUUAUGUUUGCGACAACCCAAGACAUUUUAUACAAAAACUUUACACGAUUUUCUUAAGAUUUACAUGUUGGCAUAAAGUGCCUUGAUAUUGUGAAAUAAUAAAGAAAUUGCUAUAUUAUUUUUGUUAAAAUAUAUCUCAAAAGUGCCUUAUUCUGAUGAAAAAAGCAACACUCAAAAUUGAACUGUACACCUGCCAUUCAUUCUUGGUUUUGUUUUGUUACCGAUCCAGAAUGGAAAAGGGUAAAUUUACUGCAAGAGAUUCAAACAUGAAAAAUGAUGUUGAAAAGGCAAGUGCAUCGAGUAUGGAAGAGGACAAGGCUAGCGCUUUAGACAUUGAUGAGGAUACUAACAAGGCAAGUGCAUCGAAUAUUGAAGAGGACAAGGCUAGCGCUUCAGACAUUGAUGAGGAUACUAACAAGGCAAGCGCUUCAAAUAUGAAAAUGGUUUGGGACUGGGACGGAGGAUAUUAUGAUAUUGACAACGUAGAAUGGGAACUUCGAAAUAUUUGGCUAGAGCUGGAAGGAUUAAAGGAGUUGCCCCCUCAAAAGGACCGGGCUGAUGAAUGCUGUAUCUACAGGGUUCCCAACUCACUUCGAGUCAGAAAUCCGGAAGCCUACACUCCACAGCUGAUUUCAAUAGGUCCUUUUCACCACAAUGAUGAAAGACUAGAGGCCAUGGAAACGCUGAAAAGAAAAUAUCAAGGAGAGUUCCUAAAAAGGAAUAACAUGGAUGAGAAGAAAUUUAUGGAUUUUCUAAGAAGAAUUCAGAAAGAAGAAGAGAGUAUCCGACUCUGUUAUUCAGGGAGCUUCAGAAUCCGAACAGAACGUUUUGUAAAGAUGAUCGUGCUGGAUGCUGUCUUCAUCAUUGAGUUUUUGAAGGAUUCAUAUAAUGAUGACUUUCCUCAAAAUCUUGAUACCAGGAUGAUAUCUUGCAUAGGAGAAGACUUGAUGCUACUUGAAAACCAACUACCUUUCUCCGUUAUCGACUCUAUAUAUAGCGAGUUUUAUUACCCUCGCCAAGAUGAACCAAACAUUCCUUUUCUUGAUCUUGCCACCCGUCAUUUUGAAAAUUACCCAUUUGCACAAGAGCCAGAAUCCACACCACCGACAGAUGCAAGGCAUUUAGAAUCCACACCACCGAGGCAUUUCACUGAUUUACUAAUGAAAUUAAUGUUGAAAGGAGCUGCCCUCGGGCGAGACAAUUGCUCUAAGCCUAUCAAGCUGAAAUAUAGCGCCGUCACGCUUCGCAAAGCAGGAGUGAAGUUUCAGGUCACCGAAGACAAGUGUUUGUUCAACGUGCAUUUUGAGAACGGAGUGUUGAAGAUACCACUCUUGGAAGUUGAUGAUUCCUUGGAACGUUUUGUACGAAAUGUCAUGGCCUGGGAGCAGUGCUACAAACCGAGUGAAGCUUACAUCAGCAACUACUUUAAGUUUAUGGACUAUCUUAUUGACAGGGCAGAAGACGUGGCUUUGCUAGCUGAAAAGGGAAUUAUUAAGAACUGGCUAGGUGACGACGCCGCAGUUUCAAAGUUGAUGAACAAUCUUAGCCAACGUUGUGAAAAAACUUCUUAUUAUAGUGAUAUCUGUCGAACGCUGAAUGACUACUAUGAGAACCCCUGGAACCGUAGAAGGGCAACCUUGAAACUUGUUUAUUUCAGCCAUCUUUGGAGAGGUACGGGAACUGUUGCUGCAGCUUUCCUUCUAAUCCUCACUUUGAUACAGACUAUAACUUCCCUGAAAUCGUCAUUCUAGGAUUAAAUCUUGUUUAGUUUUAUUAAUCCCACACAAUAAUUGAUGGGAUUGUUAUUGUUGUAUUCCUUGGAAAUUGUUGUUUUAAUUUUAGUUCAAAGCUUGCGCAGUUCUAAAUGUAGCUAUUUCAUGUUGUAUUGUCCUGAAACUGAUUCUGUACUUGUUCCCUGUGUGAUGUCCUUUCCUCUCAAAGCUCUCUUCUUUUAAGCUCUUCUUCUGAUUAAAUAAAGCUGAAGAAUGCAUGAUCUCAAUUUUCACUUGAUCAUGGCGACUGUGAAGCCUUAAAUCCUAAAACUAGUCGAAUUAUGCCAAGUAAAUACCACAAGUCAAUAUCGGCAUUUCCAGAUUCAUAAGCUAUCGACCUCACAACCAGGAUUUCCUGAAGAACUUCCAUCAAUGUCAAUUUCAUUGCAUCCUGCGGAGGACCUAACCAUGAAACCGAACAGUUUUCUAAUGAACAACUAGGUUUGAACCCCUCUUUUGCAACCAAAGAAAAAAAAAAACAUACUGUGGUUUCUCUGGGUCAAUCUUGUUGCUCUCCGACAAGCAUUUUGAUCCGUGAUUCCUUGACGCCAUGCUCAUUCAUCAACCACAGCUCAAAACUGUCGUCGUCGUCAAGACCACAAGAAUAGAUGGAGUUUUCAUAAACUCCAAUUUCUAUAUCCCAGCAAUAGUUAUCCAGAGAGUGAGAAUGAUCUAAAUUUCUCGUUUCCAAGAUCAAAUGCACAUAUUACAGAAUCAAUGUUAAUGGUUUCAUAACGAUCAACUAUAUAACAUCCAUAAAUGAACAUGGCAAAAGAAGGCCAACAAUCUGGGUAGCCUUGACAGCCGAGGACUUCUCCAGGUGCCAGUCUCGAUUAUGAAUACCUUAGCAGGAAUUCAGAAGAAUCUAUUGACUCAUAAACUCUAAUAACCUUAUCAAUUUAUGUUGUUAAUUUGUACACGAUCCAUGGCCUCUAUAAAUUUAUUUGUACCUCUAUAAUAUAAUGUUUCCAAAAAUUUCAAUGUCACCCUAAACUAAUAAUAAAACCCCAAUCCCUUUUGAGAGCCGAAUGCCUAUCAUCUCUACCGUAGGCGUCGAAGAAGAAUAAUAAUAAAAAAAAGCCCCGAAAAAAGAAGAAAAAAACAUGAAUGGAGUUUUAAACAACCCGUAUUUUGAAUUUUCUUUUUUUAAAAAGGUUUUCAAAUUUUUUUAGAUAUUACUGCACAUUGAAGAUUGGAGAUAAAUUUUUAAAAAUAUAUAUAUUAAAAAGAUCAGAUUUUUCUUUUUGUUAGUUACCAUGUGUUUAAUAUUAAUGUGUAAAAUACUUUUUAAAAGUGUUUUUCAUUUAAAAUUACAUUAAAACAAUUUUUUUCAGAUUUUUUAUAUCAAAACCAUUAAAAAUCACUAAAAACAAUAUCAAUUUGAUAUUUUUACAAGUUAAACACAUUUUUAAAACGUACUAGAACAAAAAUAAAAAUAAACAAUCUUUUAAUCUUUUUAAAUUUAUAAGAUAAUGUUUAGUUGUUGUCUGAGACAAAAAAGACAUAAACAAAGGAGAUAAGAUAAAAAAAAAAGAAAAAAAAGACAAAGAUAAAAUUUUGUUUGAUAGUAAUGUACACGAUAAAUUAAUCAUUUAUGUAUUCUGUUUGGUUAUGGUAGAUAAAAUAAAAUAAAAUAUGAAAAAAUCUAUUUUACCUUGUCAAAUGUAUUAUUAUUAUUUUUUACUUUAGUUUAUAUUGAGUGUUGAAAUUAAUAAUAUUAUAAUAACAAUAGUUAUAAAAUUAGAACUGAUUUGAUAAAAUGACCCGAGGCUUGGAUUGAUCCGAGUUUAAGAUAAAAUAGAGGAAGGAUAACUUGGUUGUUCAAAAACCCAAGUAAAAAAUCUAGGGACUUUUUUGAAGAAAAAUUAAUCAAAACAAGGUUGCUUUGAUAUUAAAAAAAAAAUUAUGUCAAUUAAUUUGACCCUCCCAACUUGUGACCUCAACCUUGUCUCGGAUUGACUAUCGAGCUAGGUUUUAAAAUUAUAAUAAUAAUCACUUUUAUCUAUAUAUUGACUUGAGUCAAGUCGUAUUGACUUUUCUUGCAAAAGAUAAAAGACACAUUUUAUUAUGAAUUUGAAAAUAAAAUUAUUAUUUUGCACCUCAAUCAAGUAACAUUUAGUCUAGCUUAGAAAGGUAACAUGGUAUUUUUUUAUAUGAAUAAUGAAAAUAUUAAAAUGCUUUUAGAGACCAAAUAAAAAAAAUACAUGCCUUCAACCCAGGACUAUUUUCAGUUUUUUAUAUAUAUAUUUGAAUGUAUAGUAAUAUUACUUAAAUUCCUUUUAAAUCAAUCAGAUAAAAAUCAUUGAUCAAGGGGUAUUUAUAUCUUUUUCAAUUUUAUUUUUUUUCAAAAGCAUUAUUUUAUUUUAACUAGAAUUAAAUAAUAUUAAUUUUUUAAAAGUUGUUUGAAAAUGUGGCUCUUUUUAAUAGUAGAACUUGUCUUUUCAUUUGUCAUCAGAUACAUCAUCAUGUUUUUUUUUCUUAAUACAACAUGUAUUAUUGAUGGUUGAAUAGUUUGUUGUUGAUGAACCUUUAUUCCUCUCUUUUUUUUUCUUUCCUCCCAUAUAAAUUGCAGAUCGGUCUUUUUUGUUUUUAAUAUUUGUACUUCGAUCCUUCUUUUUUUUCUUCUAAUUUUUCUUCUUGGCUCUUUAAUAAGAAUUUUAUUUUCUUUCAAUUAAGUCCUUCAAUUUCAAUUUGCAAUAUAUUAUUUUUUUUAUUUUUUUAUUUUUUACUUGGCCCUUUUAUAAUUAUUUCUUUCAAUUUCACCCUUCAAUCUAAGUAUAUAUUUUUUCAAUUUUAACCCUUCCAAAUUCUCAAUUUUUUUUCAAUUGGAUCCUCAUUUUUUAAUUGUUUUUUUUUUGUUGUAGUUAUUUUUCUCUUCAUUUUAACCAUCCAAUGGAGAAUUGUGUUCCUUUUCUUUUAACUUCUUUUAUUUGUCCUUUGCCUUUUUUGUAUAAGUGUUAUUUCUUUUCGUUAUAGUCUUUCAAUUUUAAUUUUUCAUGUAUUAUUUUUUUAUUUGAUCCUUAUUCUUUUGAAUUUUGAUUUUUUUCUUUAUCUUUUUUAUAAAAGUUUUAUUGGUUUUUAGUUUUACCCUUUAAUCCAAGUUUAUGGUCUGUUAUUUUUUUUUUACCUUUAUCCUCAUUCUCUUUUUUUUUUUUAUUUGAGUUAUUUUUCUAUUCAAUUUAACCCUGCAAUCAAAAAGUUUUGAUUACCCUAUAAUUUAUUUUUCUAUUCAAACGAUUGCAUUAAAUAUUUUUAAAAUAAUUAAUUUGAUGCAAUUAUAUUAAAAAAAAAAAAAACAAACAAACAAACGUUUUAUUUGCAUUGCAAUUUUUUUUUUAAAUGUGCAUAAUAAAUUCAUAUAAAAUUAUUAAUAUUACAAUUAAAAGAGUCGAAUUUUAUUUGAAAACUAUGAUAUAAUUUAAUAAUUUUUCAAAGAGGAAAAGAAUAUCCCUCGAAUUUGAAAAAGGAUAAGGGUUCUCGUGGGAAGCCAUAAGCAACUGUGCUGUGUCGAUCGUGGAGGCUCUUAUUUUUCAAGGAGGUGAACUUAAUUAAAAAAAAUAUAAAGCAGUAAAAGAAAAGGGAAGCGAAGAAAAUCCCAAGAGCAAACUGAGCAGCCCUUUUGGGGUGCUCCUCUGCACAACACCAUCCUGUUUCUAUUCACCAAUUCUUUUCUUAUUUUUGCGAGUUUCUUUUCUCUGGUUGACGUGAACCGAACCACCAUUUCGAAACAACCGCUGAUUUGGCAAUUUCUUUGUUCUUCUUGGUUUUAGCCUUGGACAAGGACUCCAGCUCUAGGGCCAAACUUCUAUUCCGAAGCACAAUUCAUCUCUCAGAACUCCUAACACACUCUCACAGAACGUUGUUAAAACCAUUUUUUUACAAAAUUUAUUUUUAAAAAAAUUUAUUAUUUUAUGCUUUGAAAUCUUUUUAAUAUAUUAAUUUUAAAAAUAUUUUUUUAAAAAUAAAAAAUUAUUUUAAUAUAUUUUUAAAUAAAAAACAUACACAACCAAAAAGAAUGAUGACUGCCCAUCAUGACAUUUUGAUCUUCCAAACCAUUUCCAUCAUUUUUAGGGUUUAGUCAAAGCAUACAAAACAUGGUAGGCAAUAUACCAAUUGUGAUCCUUUAAUGUACAUGAGACUUCCAAAACUUGUCACCCAAAAUGGGUCACAGAUGGAAACAGGGGCCCAUCCACCCAAAAAAAUCUUGAUGGCUACAAACUCUUGGAAAGCAACCUCCCUCGUAGCAGAUCUAAAUUUUUCAUCUAUUCAUGUAAAACCAUCCAAGGGGUAGUUCUUCAGAAUCUCUGCUCUAUAUGUGUCUAGCCAAAAACUGUCAUUGUCCAAGAAAAUACAGGACAUAGGAAAGAUUUUACAAUAGAGAUGAGAAUCGACAGAAAUAUGCACGAAAAAAAACUGUAAUAUGGAAACCAACCAAAAAGGCUUCUUUCCAAGCACUGCACCAACUCUGAAGUGGUCAUAAAUGAUACGACUUUGAAUUUUCUUUCAAUGUUUGAAAGUAGAGUCAACCGAUCAAACAUUCUCCAAGGCAUCCUUUUUCAACUCUUCUGCACUCGGAGCAGUUUAUUUUUUUGAUUUUUUUACUUGGCCCUUUUAUAAUUAUUAUUUUCAAUUUCACCCUUCAAUCCAAGUAUAUAUUUUUUUCAAUUUUAACUCUCCCAAAUUCUCAAUUUUUUUUUCAAUUGGGUCCUCAUUUUUUAAUUAUUUUUUUUUGUUGUAGUUAUUUUUCUCUUUAUUUUAACCCUCCAAUGGAGAAUUGUGUUUCUUUUCUUUUAACUUCUUUUAUUUGUCCUUUAUCUUUUUGUAUAAGUGUUAUUUUUUUUUUUAUAUACUACUUCAAUUUUAAUUUUUCAUGUAUUAUUUUUUUUAUUUCAAUUUUCACCUUCAUUUUUUUAUUACUAUUUUUUAUUUUAGAUUUUUCUGUGUAGUUAAAUUUUUUUCUCAUUUUGUUCUUUAGUAUUUGUUGACUUGGUCCAAUUUUUUUUAAUUAGAUUAUAAUUAAUAUAAGUUAAAUAAAUCUUUUAAAUUUUUUUUUAAAAUAAAAAUAACCAUAUAAUUUAACAAUAAAAUAAAACAGGAGAAAGGGAAAACUUAUCGCAAUAAUUCUCCAUUGACUAGUAAAUAUAUUUGCCUUUGUGUAAUUGCCAUGAUUUGUAAUUACCAGUCCUUGCUUAUAUAUAUUUGGCCCAAGCAUGGGGUUGAUAAGAGCAGGAUAUCAUACAGGGAGAGAGAGAGAGAGGCUGCAAUAGGAAAGAGGCCGGCUGCUGCCUGGGAUCAUAUAUAACAGAUAUAGUCGUCCGAUCAUCGAUCUCUCCAAGGUCAGCCCUGGCUUACUAGUUUUUUUUUUUUUUAAUAUUUAUAUAAUUUUGAUAAUGCGAAAUGCUGAUGCUGGUAACCUGGUUCACUACUUAAACAACUGGUUCUUUCUACUCUGUUACUUGUACGUUCUAAUUAAAAACCAGAUGCUUUCUACCCGGACUUUUUCCCUGAAAAUUAAGGUCCGGGUACUGUAAUGAAGAACAGAACAGAACUAGUUUCGGUCUGGUUUUUAAUUAGAACGUACAAGUAACAGAGUAUAUAUAUUUCUAUGUUAAAAAUUAAUAUAAAUGAUAUCCUAAAGUUUUAUGUGAUAACAUAAACUAUUGUUAAGAUAUUUUAUUGAAACCCUCUUCCUAAAUUGUCUUAUUUUAACACUAGCUUUGUUUCAUGAAAAAUAGAAAAAAGAAAAAGUGAGGUAGUAUAGCAACCGAAUUGGGAUGUGUGUCAUGAAUUAGAAAACAACAGUAUCCCUGGUAGACAAAAACAACAUGGAUCAAAAAUAAUAAACUAAGGCAUCGUCAUCAUCAUGAUUAUGAGCAUCUUAGUAUCGAUUGAAGACGGUUGAUUGAAUUUAUUUUACUAUUAAUUUAGAUCUUCGUGUUAAUUUAUAUAUAUUUCGAUUAAUUUUAAAAAUUAUAAAAUUAAUAACCAUAUAAGUAUUUAAUGGUUUUGAAAUUUAUAAAUUUAAUAAUUACUGAAAAAACAAACUUAAAACAUCAGUUAAGAUAUAAUAUUUAAUAUUAGUUGAUCAAAACUUUAUGUACAUGGGUUGGGACUUGUUGUGAGGACCAAAAAGUAUAUUGUACUGGACAAAUAUCCAACGAUCCUUCUAAAAAUGAUGUUGUCUUUUAUUCUAGUUUUGGCAAGUUUUGAUUCAGACUUUCAUGCUUUACCUUUCUUUUUUGUAUUUCAGACCCUGUUUUUUUCUUUCAACUUGCUGGCACCAGCUAUUAUAACACACCCUCUCGAUUACUUUAUAUAUAUAUAUAAUAUACUAAAACACAUUCGCUGUAGUUAAAGCUUUUUUUUCAGUUUUUUUUGUGGCAGUUUUUUUUUUUCAUUUUUUUUUCCUGUUUUGUUUUUUUUUUUUAUGUCUAUGGGUUUUUUUUUUAGUUUUUUCUUUGUGUUUUUUUUAAUGAAUUUUUUUGUUUAAUUUAGUUUCUUGAUGUGAAAUUUUUUUUUUAUAGUUUAGUUUGUUAAUUUUUUUUCGUUUAUCCCAUUGAUUUUUUUUCCUAUUUAGUUAUCAAACUUUCAUAACGCGAAUCUCAGGUUUGACGGGUUAACCUGAUUUGAAGGGUUAACUCAGUUGAUUCAUAUUUUUUUUUCUUUUUCCUCAUUAAUAACAGGCUUAUGUCUUUUGUUUUGUUUUUGUUUUUUUUUAAUUAAUUUUUUUCUUUAGUUUAGGUUGUUAAUAUUCAAUUUGUUUGCUAUUUAGUUAUUAGACUUUCAUGACACGGAUCCCAGGUUUGACAGGUAACCUGGUUUGACGGGUUAGUCCGGUUAAUUCUGAGUUAACCCGUCAAUUUUUUUUCUAUUUAGUUAUCAAACUUUCACGACACGAAUCCAAGGUUUGACGGGUUAACCCAGUUAAUUCAGAUUGUUUCUCUUUUUCUUCAUUAGUUUUUUUUUCUUUCUAUUGGUUUUUUAUUUUUAAUUAAUUUAUUUAAUUAUCACACUUUUAUGACAUGACCUUGCAGCCAGAUCCGCAUACAAGGCUAUUGGGUCUGGUAUUUUUUUUUUAGCAGGUUUUUUUUGUUUCUUUUUUUAGCAUGUUUUUUUUUUGUUUUCUUUUUACAUGUUAUUUUUUUUUCCUUUUUUUUCCCCAAAAUUGAUUUCUUCUUCUUUUUUUUGUUUUUUUUUUAAUUUUUUUAUUUCAAAAUUAUCUUUGCUAAUUUUUUUAAAUAUUGAGCUGGUUGAAAAUUUAACUAUAUAGUUUUUUUCUUUAAAACAUUGUGGAUUGCUAUAAUAUUCUCAUACAUUGUUUUCUUUUUUUUACAAAAUGAUCUUUGUAGAUUUUAUUUUUUUAUAUUAAGUUGGUUGAGAAUUUAACUUUGUAUUUUAAAAAAAAAAAAAACAAUAUUGAUUGCUACAAUGUUUCCCCUACAUAGUUUUUGCUUUGCUGCAGUGUUUCCCCAUAUAUUUUUUUAAAAAAUUAUCUUUAUAGAAUUUAUUUUUUCAAUAUUGAGCUAGCUGAUAAUCUAGUUUAGCUUUCCCCACAUGUUUUUUUUAUUUGUUUUUCUUUUUUUCCAAAAUUCUCAUUUUUUACAUGUUUUUUUUUUGUUUUUUUUUUUUCAGAAUUAUUAUUGUUGAUUUUAUUUUUUUACUAUUGAGUUAGUUGAAAUUUUAGUUUUUUUGUCUUUUUCUUUAAAACACUGUAGCUUUUCCUAUGUGUUUUUUUUCGCUUUUGUUUCCUUUUUUUUCAUUUAUUUUACCUAAAAUUGACUUCUUUUUUUUUAAAAUAGCCUUUGUCGGUUUUUUUUUAUAUAUAUAUUAAGCUGAUUGAGAACUUAGAUUUGUAGCUUUAAAAAAAAAAAUACUAUGGAUUCCUACAGUGUUUCCCUUACAUGAUUUUUGUUUGACUGCAAUGUUUUCCCCACAUGUUUAUUUUUUAUGACCUGCGGGUAUCAAAGCUAGUAUAUAUAUAUAUGAGAAGUCGUAGAUUGAACUGCAUUCUCAAUCCAAAGAAAUUGAAUAGCAUAACUUAUUACUUAGGACUAUUUCAUGCACAAUUUUAACUUAUGUUCCUUCUUGAUCAUGAUCUCUUAAUGAAGGAGAAAGGACGGGAUUUAAAAGUUUAGAAAUUAUGCUAUGCAUACAAAUAAAUUAUAUUAGAUUUGUAGUUGCAUUAUUGUGGUUAGUGAUGAGCAGUGAAAUACAAGUCUCGAGAAUAUAAAACAAUUGGACACGAAUGAAGAGAGCAAUUAUCACAUUUUAUACAAGAAAUUUAUACGAUUUUCUUAUAGAAUCGCUCUUAAGAUUUACAUGUUGGCAAAAAGUGCCUUAAUAUUGUGAAAUAAUAAAGAAAUUGCUACAUUAUUUUUGUUAAAAUAUAUCUCAAAAGUGCCUUAUUCUGGAACGAUACACCUGCCAUUCAUUCUUGGUUUUGUUUUGUUACCGAUCCAGAAUGGGAAAGGAUAAAUUUACUGCAAGUGAUUCAAACAUGAAAAAUGAUGUUGAAAGGGAAAGUGCAUCGAAUAUUGAAGAGGACAAGGCAAGUGCUUCAGACAUUGACGAGGAUACUAACAAGGCAAGCGCUUCAAAUAUAAUGGACAGAGGAUAUGAUAUUAUUGACGACGCAGAACGGGAAUUUCGACAUAUUUUGCUAGAGGUGGAAGAAUUAAUAAAGGAGUUGCCCCCUCAAAAGGACCGGGCUGAUGAAUGCUGUAUCUACAGGGUUCCCAACUCACUUCGAGCCAGAAAUCCGGAAGCCUUCACUCCACAGCUGAUUUCAAUAGGUCCUUUUCACUUCUAUGAUGAAAGACUAGUCGACAAGGAAACGAAAAGAAGAUUUCAAGGAGAGUUCUUUAAAAGGAAUGACAUGGAUGAGAAGAGAUUUAUAGAUUUUCUAAGAAGAAUUCAGAAAAAAGAAGAGAGUAUCCGACUCUGUUAUUCAGAGAGCUGCUUGUGCUUCGAUAAAACAGAACGUUUUGUAAAGAUGAUCGUGCUGGAUGCUGUCUUCAUCAUUGAGUUUUUGAAGCAUUCAUAUAAAGAUGACUUUCCUCAAAAUCUUGAUACCAGGAUGAUAUCUUGCAUAGGAGAAGACUUGAUGCUACCUGAAAACCAACUACCUUUCUUCGUUAUCGACUCUAUAUAUAGCGAGUUUUAUCAAGAUGAACAAAACAUUACUUUUCUUAAUCUUGCCACCCGUCAUUUUGGAAAGUACCCAUUUGCACAAGGGCCAGAAUCCACACCACCGACAGAUGGAAGGCAUUUCACUGAUUUACUAAUGAAAUUAAUGUUGAAAGGAGCCCUCAAGCGAGACAAUUGCUCUAAGCCUCCUAUCAAGCUGAAAUAUAGCGCCGUCACGCUUCGCAAAGGAGGAGUGAAGUUUGUUCAACGUACAUUUUAAGAACGGGGUGUUGAAAAUACCACUGUUGGAAGUUGAUGAUUCCUUGGAACGUUUUGUACGAAAUGUCAUGGCCUGGGAGUACUGCUCCAAACCGAGUGAAGCUCACAUGAUCAGCAACUACUUUAAGUUUAUGGACCAUCUUAUUGACAGGGCAGAAGACGUGGCUUUGCUAGCUGAAGAGGGAAUUAUUAAGAACUGGCUAGGUGAUGACGCCGCAGUUUCAAAGUUGAUGAACAACCUUAGCCAACGUAGUGAAAAAACUUGUUAUUAUAGUGAUAUCUGUCAAACGCUGAAUGACUACUAUGAGAACCCCUGGAACCGUAGAAGGGCAACCUUGAAACUUGUUUAUUUCAGCAAUCUUUGGAGAGGUACGGGCACUGUUGCUGCAGCUUUCCUUCUAAUCCUCACUUUGAUACAGACUAUAACUUCCCUGAAAUCGUCAUUCUAGGAUUAAAUCUUGUUUAGUUUUAUUAAUCCCACACAAUAAUUGAUGGGAUUGUUAUUGUUGUAUUCCUUGGAAAUUGUUGUUUUAAUUUUAAUUCAAAGCUUGCGUAGUUCUAAUGUAGCUAUUUCUUGGUGUAUUGUCCUGAAACUGAUCCUGUACUUGUUCCCUGUGUGCUGUCCUUUCCUCUCAAAGCUCUCUUCUUUUAAGCUCUUCUUCUGAUUAAAUAAAGCUGAAGAAUGCAUGAUCUCAAUUUUCACUUGAUCAUGGCGACUGUGAAGCCUUAAAUCCUAAAACUAGUCGAAUUAUGCCAUGUAAAUACCACAAGUCAACAUCGGCAUUUCCAGAUUCAUAAGCUAUCGACCUCACAACCAGGAUUUCCUGAAGAACUUCCAUCAAUGUCAAUUUCAUUGCAUCCUGCGGAGGACCUAACCAUGAAACCGAACAGUUUUCUAAUGAACAACUAGGUUCGAACCCCUCUUUUGCAACCAAAGAAAAAAAAAACAUACUGUGGUUACUCUGGGUCAAUCUUGUUGCUCUCCAUGACAAGCAUUUUGAUCCGUGAUUCCUUGACGCCAUGCUCAUUCCUUGGCGGCUAUGUAUUAGGUUUCACUAAUAAUCUGAUUCAUUUUCCAAACUACAAGCAAAAUAUUUGACAUUCAGAAUGCGAAUCCCAAGAUUAUCAUCAGCAGAAGGUAAAUAAAGUGCAUUGCCCUGCUUAAAAAACCUGAAGCAGCACAAACAAGAGCAGGCCAUGACAAACUAAGCAUGGUAGGGAGGGUUGUUUUAAGUAGUGAUUGGCGGAUACGAUGAAUCCUUACCAGCUGAGCGACUACAAACGCACUGACAAGAAGAAGUCCAGGACGUUCAACAAAAGACCAGCUGCGGGAUCGUGUGACGAAAAUGAGGGCCUGGCUCACAAUACUCACUUGCAAGUACAAGGCCGCCAUCAUUUCAUAUUUGCCCUUAGUGCUCUCUCUUUCUCUUCUGUCAUUUUUACUCCGAAGAGAUUUGAACUCGAAACCUCUUGUACAAUGGAGCAAUAUGGAUAACAGAAUUUGGAGAACAUGCAUGCAUACAUAAUCUUUCUUGAAACCUUUUGUGAUUCUUGAGAAGAAAUUGUUGAUCUUGUUGCUCCCUACGUGCGGUUCCUGUGUUCAGAUUCAGUAGGUUAAAAAAUGUUCCUGAACUUGCUAAGAAGUUGCUUCUGUAAAAUUUGUGCACACGUUUUAAUGGAGAAGAAGAUAUCUUUCUCCUCCAUUCACACUCGAAGCUAAAGUAUUGCCCUUUUUUUAUUUAAUCUUUUCUUUUCCUUUAGAGAGGUUUAUUAGUUUAACCAUGAAAAUUAAAGUUAAACCACCUUCUUCUCUUAAUCAUCUCUUGUUGAUCAGGUUCCGGUUUAAGUAUUGAGAAUUUGUAUGAUGGGUUUUAGUUUUUCUGUUUAAAAUUUGUUUGAUGGGCGAGGUCAGUCCAUUCUUCGUGUGGUUCAAAAGCACCGUUAGCAUUAGCAGAAGGUUAGGUGGAAAAUCAUGGCUGCUUCAAUUUUGGUCAAAGCAAUUUUACAUGAGCAUUUGUUUACUAAUUCCUACUUGUUUGACAGGUUGAAAAUGGGCUCCACAGAUGCGACACAGUUGGUUCUUUCCUUAAUUUUCUUGGUCAUUUUAGGCUCAAAUCUCAUUGCAGGACAAACAUUCUCUUCAAAUUCUUCUGAGCCUGGUAAGACCUGAUAAUUUCAUUGAAUAAGGUUUUGACACUUGAAGUGGGCUUUAAUCCAAGAAUUCAAACUAGCCCUUUUCGUUAGUUGGAAAAAACUAAUUAGCCCUUAAGCUCUUGAUUGAUUUCUUGGUAUGUUUCUUGUUUUAUCAGAUACAUAUGUUCGUGAUGUAAACAAUGUGUCACAACCUAUGAUACGGUCAGAUAUUGAUACUGUGAGGCUGGAUCCACUUGAAAAUUUCAAGAAAUAUGAAGGAGGAUAUUGUUAAAUUAAUUGAGAUCAAACACAAAAUGGAGGCUAGAUUUCUGAAUAAUCUGUUUAUUAUGAAUGCUUAGUCUUAACCUAAUUACAAAUAAAGUAUAUAUAGGUUAAACUGAAUGUACUAUUCUACCCUUAAUAAAUAAGACAACAUAAAUAUUAUUUAACAUCUCCCCUCAAACUCACGAUGCGGCAGCUACAAGCAUCGAGAGUUUGCCAACUAGAAAACGAAAACGAGAUAUGGAAUGCGUCUUGGUAAAGAAAUCUGCAAUCUGCAAUGAAGAAGGAACAAAAGGCAAAGUAAUGGUUUCAUGCUUGGGAUGAUGACGAGUAAGAUGACAAUCGAUUUCAAUGUGCUUAGUCUGCUCAUGAAAAACCAAGUUGUGAGCAAUCUGAAUAGAACUCUGGUUGUCACAAUACAUAGGAAUAGGAUGGGAAAAGGAAACUGUCAUAUCAGCAAGUAACCAACGUAACCAAAUAAUCUCUUUGGUAGUAGAUGCCAUGGCACGAUAUUCUGCUUCGGUGGAUGAUUGAGAAACAAUAGAUUGUUUCUUGCUCUUCCAAGAAAUAAGAGAAUCACCUAAAAAGAUACAAAACCCGGUAACAGACUUGCAAUCUGUGGGAUCACUACCAUGAUCAGCAUCAGAGUAUGCACGCAACUCCAAGGAAGAGGUGGAUGAAAGUAAAAGACUUUGAAAAACUAUACCCCGAAGAUAUCGCAAAAUACGAAGAACAGCUGCCUAGUGAACAGUAGUAGGAGAAGCAACAAACUGACUAACAACAUGAACAGCAUAUGCAAUAUCUGGACGAGUAAUAGUGAGAUAUACCAAACUCCCAACAAUAGUGCGGUAUAAAGUAGGAUCUAUCAAAAGUAAACCAUCAGAAGAAGAGUACCUUGCGUUAACCUCAAUAGGAGUAUCCACAGUCUUGUUAUCAGUAAGUCUAGCCCGCUCAAGAAUAUCUGCAACAUAUUUCGACUAAGAAAGAAGGUAACCUCUAGGUGAGUAUGCUACCUCAAUACCCAUGAAAUAUCAAAGAUAACCCAAAUCCUUCAUCUCAAAUCGUCUAGCCAACUCUGUCUUCAAAACUGAAAUACCAUCAAUGUCAUCACAAGUAAUAAUCAUGUCAUCAACAUAUAAAGACAGAAUGAUACAACCUGCAUCAGUGCACUUAAUAAAAAGAGCAGAAUCAUGACUGUUAGAAACAAAGCCAAGUGACGAGAUCACAAUAGAGAAUUUCUCAAACCAAGCACGGGGUGCUUGUUUGAGACCAUAUAAUGCUUUCUUAAGCUUACAAACAUAUCCAGAGUCAUGUGAAAUACCAAGAGGGGGUGCCAUAUAAACUUCUUCUUGAAGAUCUCCAUUCAAGAAGGCAUUUUUAACAUCAAGUGAGAAAUAUGCCAUUGAUGAAUCGAAGCUACGGCAAUAAGAGUACGAAUAGUAGUUAUUUUUGCAACCGGAGCAAAUGUCUCCUCAUAGUCCAUACCAUACUGUUGAGAGUAUCCUUUGGCAACCAACCUAGCUUUAUAUCGCUCAAUAGACCCAUCAGAAUUAGUCUUGAUCUUAUACACCCAACGACAACCAACAACACUCUUACCAGGAGGUAGAGGAACCAGAUCCCAAGUAUCUGUCUUAUGCAAUGCAGAAAGUUCCUCAUCCAUAGCUUGCUGCCAAAGCGGAUCAAGAAUUGCCUCUUUAUAGGAAGAGGGCUCAACAAGACAAUGAAUAGAGGCUAAAAAGGAAGUAAAUGAUGAAGAAUAACAAGAAUAAGAAAAAUCUGGUAGUUUUGUGGACUUACGAAUACGGAUGGACUGACAUGGAGGUGGAUCCACAAUCUCAGAUGAAGCUUGAGAGGCUGUAAAUGAGAAUGGAGCUUCAGGUGUGCCAGAGAGUAAAGUACCAGUACCUGCAGAGUUAUGAAACUUGUUUGAUGGGCGAGGUCAGUCCAUUCUUCGUGUGGUUCAAAAGCACCGUUAGCAUUAGCAGAAGGUUAGGUGGAAAAUCAUGGCUGCUUCAAUUUUGGUCAAAGCAAUUUUACAUGAGCAUUUGUUUACUAAUUCCUACUUGUUUGACACGUUGAAAAUGGGCUCCACAGAUGCGACGCCGUUGGUUGUUUCCUUAAUUUUCUUGGUCAUUUUAGGCUCAAAUCUCAUUGGAGGACAAACAUUCUCUUCAAAUUCCUCUAAGCCUGGUAAGACCUGAUAAUUUCAUUGAAUAAGGUUUUGAAACUUGAAGUAGGCUUUAAUCCAAGAAUUCAAACUAGCCCUUUUCGUUAGUUGGAAAAAACUAAUUAGCCCUUAAGCUCUUGAUUGAUUUCUUGGUAUGUUUCUUGUUUUAUCAGGUACAUAUGUUCGUGAUGUAAACAAUGUGUCACAACCUAUGAUACGGUCAGAUGAUACUGCGAGGCUGGAUCCACUUGAAAAUUUCAAGAAAUAUAAAGGAGGAUAUGAUAUCAAAAACAAACAUUAUUGGAGUGUAAUUCCCUUUCACUCUCUCUUUAAAUAGAUAUUAAUUAUAGAAAAUCAGUUUUGCCACCAUAAUUUUAGCAUUUACUGAUGUAAUCCCAGAAGAUUUUCUUUAGUCUUGUAGCAUGGUAGUAUGGUCCUAAUGAUUUAGUUAUUUCUGAAAUUUUCGUAAAAGCUAAAAUCACAGAGAAAUAACAAGUUGUAUUUUCUGCAGUCAACCAUAUUUACAGGAGUUUAUGGAUAUGUCAUCGGGGUAAUCUGGCUUCUGAGUGGCAUAGCAUAUGGAGCCUUUCUGCUAGCAACUGCUUUCUGCUGUAAAACUAGAAGGUAUGGACACCUGAAGAAAAGAUUACCUUGCCACAAGCAAUGUUGGCCUGUUCUGUUGGCUAUAUUUUUCACUACCCUAGCAAUGUAAGUCCCACCACAUUCGCAAUCCAAAAUCCAAAUAACAUAAAUGCUGCAACAGUUCUUGGAGGGAAUGCGAAGUUCCGUUCACGAGCUAAAAAUGCGGCGGACAUCAUCAUUGACACGGCGAAUGACGCGUGGAAAACCAUGUACAACACAACAGGAGUAAUGAAAGACAUGAAAGAGAAUUUAGGAGUAUCUAAACAAAUGGCUGCCGCUAAGGCAUCUACCUUCCUUACCACCACAUCAGCGAAACUUGAUGCUGAAGCUGCUGAUAUACAGAGGAGAGCUCGGAAGAAUAGGCACUUGAUCGAUAAGGGUCUCAAGAUAGUGUAAGUUUGUCUCUCCCGUGCAAAUUAUGUAUAUCCAUGUCCAUUUUAGCUUGUCUAAAAGAUAGCUAUGAUACUUGCUGCAGUUAUAUUGUAACCACAGUGACAAUUUCCUUGAACCUGGCUGCACUAAUUGCUCUUUCAGGUAUUUCUCCCUAUGUGUCCAACUCCUUAGUCCUACCACACUUGGAAUUUAUAGUUUGGUCGAUACAACUUUUGAACCUUGUAAAACCAGAAUUGGGCAGGAAAAGUUCCAAGUGCUGGCAAUUUCUUAUUAUGUAGCACUUUCUUCGUCAUUAUGAUCAAGUUGAAUAUAUUUCUCAUUUUGUGUUUGAAUUCAUUCUAUUGCAGUCUGUGGAACUCUGAGGUUACGGCGACCACUGUACGUGUAAGUAAAAUAAACAACGCUUACAUAGCCGAACUAGAACAUUUCCUAAGAGAUUGAAUUGACUGUCAUGUACAUUUUCUUAUGAUUUUUCUCUAGCAGAUUAAUUGUUGUGUGUUGGAUCCUGACUGUUCUAUGCUGGCUGUUCUUUGGGCUGUAUUUCUUCUUAGAAAAGUAAGUCCAAGUUCUUUCCAUUGCUUCAAUUUCUCAAUACCAACUAAUUGAGGGAACAUGAACAUUUUUCUGCAGCUUUUCAACAGAUUCAUGUGCAGCUCUCGAAAACUUCCAACAGAAUCCUUACAACAACAGCUUGAGUUCAAUCCUUCCCUGCGAUCAAUUGCUCUCAGCAAAAGCAGUGUUAUCUGAUGUCAGUCGAGGGAUCUACAGACUUGUUAAUCAGGUUGAUUCUCAGGACAUUAUCUCCGAGUUGCAAUUUGUUUUUCUCCCCGUUUGAACCUUAUCGUUUUAUCAUGUGAUUUAUAUCAGAACUUCUUCUGCUGAAACAUUUCAGGUGAAUGCAAAUUUAUCAACCAUGCAAGGAGUACCUUAUACCGUUUGCAAUCCCUUCUCAGAACCACCUGAAUACCAAUACCAGCCUGAUAAGUGCCCUGCUAACACAAUCGGAAUCGGUGAGAUCCCACAGGUAUGUCAAAGGGAAGAUCAAAAAGUUUUUGUAGCCCCAAAUGUCUUCUCUCUUCAUGUUCACUAAAUGAAGUUCUAUUCCACUCUCCACAGGUAUUGAAGGUAUUUACUUGUUCCAGUUUCGACAAUGGAACAUGUGCCAACGGACAAUUCAUAUCGCCUAACUAUUAUAGAACAGUUGAGGCAUACAGCACAUCCAUUCAGAGCCUACUAAAUGUGUACCCUGAGAUGGAAAAUCUAGUACAGUGUAAAGCGGUGAAGGAUGCGUUUUCUGAGAUCCUAUUGUACCAUUGCAAACCAUUGAAAAGAUACGUUCGAAUGGUGUGGGCAUCAAUGGUGUUUCUCUCAUUAGUCAUGGUAUUUCUGGUUCUGAUAUGGACAAUGCUGGCUCAACAUGAGCAAGAACACCAUUCUUUAGACGGUUCUGUGAAGCCACGUUUGCCAUCUGUCGCAAAGGAAUUGGAAACUGGAACCAAAGAUAGCUCAGAACAUACUGUUUCAGUCUAGGAAGUAGCAACAUUUUACCUAGGAUACUACAUUAAAUUCUGGAAGAUCAAUGGUGCAAGCCAACUUCCAAGAACACAGGAUCAAGAAAUCAUGGUACGAUAUUGCUAGGUAGAUUAGAUACAUACCAACAAAGAAAAUUAGUGCAGAAUUCACUUCUUUGAUUGACUAUCAGACCCCAAAUCCGGGGCACAGAUUUGAAAACUUGAUGUACAUCCAAUUUAAUGUAUCAAAAACACUACCUUAAUAUAAUCAAACAUAAGCAACAGAUUUAUCAAUAACAAAAUAUAACAAAAAUUCGAUUCUUGUAUUGCAUCUCUUUCAACCAACCAUUGUUUAGAAGUCAAUGGAUGCAUUUUUCUUUUCAACUAGCAGUUACUUCAAAGUUUGAUGUGCUGUAAAAUACAUGCGUAUUUCAUUGGUUUAUAUAUAUAUAUAUAUAUAUAUAGUUGUUCGACUUAUCCGAAGUAUCACUUCAUAAACAAAAAUUACUUAGAUUGUGUUCGAAUAAUGCUCUAAAAAAACCACUAAUAAAAAUGUAAUAAAUAUGUAUUUAGUUAAGGAGAAAGAUGUAAAAAAAAAUAUAAAAUAAAUAUAUUUUUAAAAUUGUCUUGGUCAAGAAAUAAGCCCCUUGUAUUUCAUUGUUUCUAACGAAAUACUAUAUUGUAAUUAUCUUGAUCAAGUUUUGACUAGAUUUAAAAGAGUAAAUUAGAUUAUAUCAAGUUAUCUUUCUGUUUUGAUUGUAUAAAUGUCAAAAUUGGUUCAAAUAAAACAAAUUUAAGGCUGAGUUUAUUAACUAAGUCCAAAAAACAUAAAUGAUUAGGUUCCUACAGUUUUUAUUUUCCCAUUCCUUUUCAAUGCGGGGUAGCCAAAUGUGCACCCAACAAUAUCUUUGUGCUUCAUGUUCAUACCUUUUGGAUCAAAUUUAAAUUCAUUGCAAAAAUGCUCUCUUUUCAGGGGUUAGAGUUUACAGAAAGUUUUACAGAGAAGAGAAGGAAAGAUCCAACGGAGUCCUCGCUAUUUGUGUUGCAAAAUCAGCUGCCCAGCCCUGCCUUUCUUUGGCUAGAAUCCUCUCUGUGAGUCUUCUCGCUUAUUGUCCCGUGAUGAUCUUUAUGCAUAGCUGUUGAGUGGAAAGAUUUUCUCUUUUCAACGAGCUAUAACAAAGGAGGGAAAGAUGUAAAUAUUUCGAAAUGGUGAAAGACAAUCAAAACCUAAGCAGAGCAAAGGAGAGAUGCAAGAUUAGUUCUUGAUUACUUUUUCUCAAGUUUUUCUCAGUGAAACAUAACCAAAAUGCAGUACCAUUAAAGGAGAUCUUGCAUGCCUUUUUGGGUCUGCCACAGCUACCACAAACAUUCUGAGAUAUGCUUUCCAGGCAAAAUCAACUACCAUUGUUCUUUCUCUGAAUUGAAACGGCCAUACUAGAUUGGUACAGUGUUUUUAAUGUUGAUGUCAGUUCAUGAAAACAAAAAACAAAGUUCUAAAUUGUCACGACCCGAAUCUCGGAUCCGUGACCGGUAACGCAGGAGCGGUAUCGAAAGGACACUUCACCCACGCUAAGCCUCAAAACAGACAUAUCAAAAGUAUAAUUUAUUCAAAAAUACACAGCGGCUCAUAAUAUUCAGAAAUAUCAUAUUAUUCAAAACUGAUAAAACCAAAUGAUAGUUCAAAACUACUCAUCGGUAAUUAAAACAAAAAUAAUAAUUCAUAAUACUCAUUACUUAUCAAAAUCCAAACUUAAUUAAAACAAGGUAACAGUGGAGCGUCUAAGACAUCAAAUCAAAACUAAAAGGAAAGCCUCGUGAACAAGCAAGGCAUACCGACCAGAACUGAAGAAGCGGAAACACUCAACAAGGUCCCAGAAACUAAGAACCUGAAAUAAUAUAAAAAAUGAGAGGUGAGUUCAACCAACUUAGUGAGGGGAAUAACAUAUACAUUUCAUAUAUUUCAGAUAUUAUUUGCAAGAUGAUUUAUCUUGAUAUACAUAUACAUAUACAUAUACUUACUAAACAUAUUAUCAUAACGUAGCAUAUUAUCAUAACGUAGUGGAUUACAUGUCAGAGAUCAGAUGACACCCGAAGGUGACCAGAUGACACCCGUAGGUGACUAGAUGACACCCGUCGGUGACCAAAUAACACCCGUCGGUGACCACUGUGGGAUGAUCAAUCGCCACAGGCUGAUGCCUCUCUCACCAGCUAGGUAACAGAAUACUAUGUGCACACAGGCUAACUAUUCUUCGUUAGCAUGGAGUUACUGACAAGUCCCAUAUCAAGGCAUAAUAGAUAUUCACAGAAUCAUCAAAGAAACGUAUAUCAUAUCAAAUAGAAUUUACUUUAUCAGAUUGCGAGUGCAAAUUCAAGAAUAAAUGAGUACUCGGAAAAUAAAGCAACAUAUAUAAAUAUUCAAGAAAUUUACUAGUUGUACUCAUUGUAUAAUCAACAUACAUAUUUAUUUAUAUUAUAUGCAUAUUAAAGAUUAUUCCACUCACCCGGAAAAUAUAGAACUAAAAGGAAUGUCGGACGAAAGACCCGAAAAUCCUAUUAAGGAUCGUUAGGAGAACCUACAAUAAAUAUAUGAAAUAUACUAAAAAACAGAUCAAACAAAAGAUCCCAAUGCAUAAAAUAAACCAGGCUUAAUCUCCCAAGUUUAGGGACUAAAACGAUAAUUUUCCAAAACAGGGACCAAAACGUAAUUUUACCAAAAUUGGAGGGCCAAAUUGUAAAUACAUAACCAUACUGAAAUUUAUCCAUAAUUCGUCCUUAUCUUUGUCCAGAAUCUUGAAUUAUGCCCCAAGGUCCAAAAUGUGAUUUUAUCAAAAGUUAAGGGGUCAAAUCGUAAUUUGUCAAAUUGGAGGACCAAACUGAAAAUAUUAAUUAUACUGGAAUUUUGCCUUUAAAUCAUCCUCAGUUCUGUUCAGAACCUCAAUUUAUGCCCCAGGGACCAAUCUGUAAAUUUUCCAAAGUUCGGGGACUAAACUGCAAUUUCCGCAAAUUGAGGGACCAAACUGAAUUUUCGUCAUCUUCAACCUCAAACCCAGAAUUUCAAUAGAUCACCUACUGUUAUCCCCUGAUUUCUAACACAAUUUCACCAUUUAAACAAAAUCUUAACUCAAAAUCAUUAUCCUUCAAUUCAAUCUCUCAAAAUCAACUAAUUAAUCAAAUACCCACAAUAAUCAACUCCUAACCUUCAAAUUAAUUCAUCAAUUAACUCAAAAUACAAACUUCAAAACUCUACAAUUAAUCAAAACCGAAAUUUAACAUAUUAUACACUUAAAACCAUAAAUCUUACCUUUUUACUUAUUUCCUCUACUUCUCUUCUCCUUCCUUUCCUUCUCUCCUUUAUUUUCUUCUUCUUCCUCUUUCCCUUUCUCUCCCGUAGCUCUCUUUCUCUCAAAAUCAUAUCAUUCUUUUUCUUUUUCUUUCUUAUUUAUAUUUAUCAACUAUUGGUCAAUUACCACACUACCCUUCAAUCAUUUAUACCCUCUUUUUAAGCCUCCAAGGGCUUUAUUGUAUUUUCCAAUCUUUUUAAUACAAAACAUCACAAUAUCCCCACCUUAUAAAAGUUUCAUCCUCGAAACUUAAUAGAAAAGAUUGAAUACUUACCGAGAUUAUCGACAAGAUGAGGAUACUGUCGGCCUCCCUGUCCCCUGUUAGGACCUGUAUCAGACCACUGAUGAAAAGAGAACUGAUUUGCCACCUUGGGCCUCUUCACCGAACCCACUGAUAAUUCAUCCUCUAACUCUCGCGCCUCAAUAGCUCGGGCACGAUCCACUACGGCCGAGUACGUCUUAAACUCAUGAGCCCCAAUAGCUUUGAAUAGGUAGCUAUUAAGACCCCGAAUAAACCUCUUGAUCUUCCUCUCCUCGGUCGGUACCAAAUGCCCAGCAAAUCUGGACAACUGCGCGAAUUCCACUUCAUACUCUGUCACAGUCAAGUCACCCUGAACCAACUUCUCAAACUCGUAUGAUUUAGCUUCCCUCACACUUUCAGGUAGAAAACGCUCCAAAAACAUCUCAGAAAAUUCCUUCCACGCCAUCGGUGGAGAACUAGCUGCCCUUUCACCUUUUUUGGACUCAUACCAGUUCAAAGCCACCUCGCCUUCUAGCCUAAAAGAUGCUAAAGUCACUGCACGAUGAUCCGUGCACCCCAUGACCUAUUGGUCAAUUACCACACUACCCUUCAAUCAUUUAUACCCUCUUUUUCAGUUUUGUAGAUAUAUAUAUUUGAAUGUAUUAGUAAUUUUAGAUGAAUAAGAUAAAAAUCAUUGAUUAAGGGGUAUUUAUAUCUUUUUCAAGUUGGUUUUUCAUUUUUUCAAAAGCAUUAUUUUAUUUUAACUAGAAUUAAAUAAUAUUAAUUUUCAAAAAGUUGUUUAAAAAUGUGGGUCUUUUCAAUAGUAGAACUUGUCUUUUUAUUUGUCAUCAGAUACAUCAUCAUGUUUGUUUUUCCUAGGAGCAAAAGGAUUUGAAACAAUGGAAGUAACAGGAGGACUGUUCUCAGACACAGGAGCAAAAGGAUCUGAAACAAUGGAAGUAACAGGAGGACUGUUCUCAGACACAGUGUUUCGGAGCCUCACAAGAAGAUCUUUAAAGGGUGCUAGGAAAUUCUUGUUCAAGGCGACACAAAGAGAAGGUAUGUCUUGGGUGGCAUCGAUAUCUGAAGGAGGAAGUUCUAAAUUGUUGCAAAACUUUGAGAGAUCUGAAGUUCAUAUUGUGAGCUACUGCAAUUCCAGUUUCCAGUAUUCUCGUCAAAUACAAGAAAAAUCCUAUCGUUUGUACUUUCCAUAAGGAAUCUGGGAUGAUCUCUUAACUCUUCAUCAACCCUUCCAUUCUCAACGAGUAAAUUCUAUCAUUUAUGUUACAUGUUUCUUGAGAUGAAACAAACAUUCCAUAAACAUUAUCUAAAUGAUUGUUAACUCUAUAUUAUUUAAAGAAAUAAAGUUCGUUUUCAUGCAUUCCUCUAGUUUCUUGACAAGAGGAUAUUGAAUACUUGAUUUGUGGUAAAAAGAAGAAGAUUGGUGUGAAAUGUUGGCUUAAUUUAUUGAAUUGGUGGUAGAAACUUCAAGAUCAGUAAUCUAAUUAUCAUAAAUAUAUAAUAAUUUUAAACGAGGAAAUUCAAAUAUAGGGUAGCGAGCUUGGCAUUUCAAAUCAAAUCACGGCAAUCAACUUACAAACAGCUUGACUUGGUAAAACUCAAGCUCCAAGUGAGAUCUUAUUACGUCAUCUUGUUAGAUUCUUUUAAAUUUAUUUAUACAUCAUAUUAAUUAGUUUUUUUGGUUUUAAUUCUCAUCCAAGACAAUAUGAUUUGAAAUUGAAAUGGAAUUAAUGGCUCAAUUUGACAAUCCAACAACCUAAAUAAAAAAAUAAACUAAAAUAGAAAGGGAUGAGAACAAUUAAUUUAUUAUAACAAAAGAUACAAGACACAUUUUAUUAUGAAUUUGAAAAUAAAAUUAUUAUUUUGCACCUCAAUCAAGUAACAUUUAGUCUAGCUUAGAAAGGUAACAUGGUAUUUUUUUUAUAUGAAUAAUGAAAAUAUUAAAAUGCUUUUAGAGACCAAAUAAAAAAAAUACAUGCCUUCAACCCAGGGCUAUUUUCAGUUUUUUUUUUAUAUAUAUAUAUAUAUAUAUAUAUAUAUAUAUAUUUGAAUGUAUUAGUAAUUUUAGAUGAAUAAGAUAAAAAUCAUUGAUUAAGGGGUAUUUAUAUCUUUUUCAAGUUGGUUUUUUAUUUUUUUCAAAAGCAUUAUUUUAUUUUAACUAGAAUUAAAUAAUAUUAAUUUUCAAAAAGUUGUUUAAAAAUGUGGAUCUUUUCAAUAGUAGAACUUGUCUUUUCAUUUGUCAUCAUAUACAUCAUCAUGUUUUUUUUUCCUAAUACGACAUGUAUUAUUGAUUGUUAGGUAGUUUGUUGUUAGUAAACUUUUAUUCCCCUUUUUUUUUCUCUCUCUCCUCUCAUAUAAAUUGCAGAUCGGUCUUUUUUGUUUUUAAUACUUGUACUUUGAUCUCUCUUUUUUCUUCUAAUUUUUCUCUUUGGCUCUUUAAUAAUAAUUUUAUUUUGUUUCAAUUAAGUCCUUCAAUUUUAAUUUGCAAUAUAUAAUUUUUUUUUAUUUUUGAAUUUUUUUACUUGGCCCUUUUAUAAUUAUUUCUUUCAAUUUCACCCUUCAAUCUAAGUAUAUAUAUUUUUUAAUUUUAACCCUUCAAAAUUCUCAAUUUUUUUUUCAAUUGGAUCGUCAUUUUUUAAUUGUUUUUUCUUUUUUGUUGUAGUUAUUUUUCUCUUCAUUUUAACCAUCCAAUGGAGAAUUGUGUUCCUUUUAUUUUAACUUCUUUUAUUUAUCCUUUGCCUUUUUGUAUAAGUGUUAUUUCUUUUCGUUAUAGUCCUUCAAUUUUAAUUUUUCAUGUAUUAUUUUUUUAUUUGAUUCUUAUUUUUUUAAAUUUUGAUUUUUUUUUCUUUAUCCUUUUUAUAAAAGUUUUAUUGGUUUUUAGUUUUACCCUUUAAUCCAAGUUUAUGGUGUGUUAUAAUUUAUUUUUUACCUUUAUCCUCAUUCCUUUUUCUUUUUAUUUGAGUUAUUUUUCUAUUCAAUUUAACCCUCCAAUCAAAAAGUUUUGGUUACCCUUUAAUUUAUUUUUUGUUUUAAUUCUCAUUCUCAUUUUUUUAUUAUUAUUUUUUAUUUUAGAUUUUUUUGUGUAGUUAAUUUUUUUUCUCUCAUUUUGUUCUUUAGUAUUUGUUGACUUGGUCCAAUUGUUUUGUCCAUUUUUUAUCCAAUUCCAUGCUUUCAUAUAUUUAUUUUCUAUAGUAUUGUAAUCUUUUUUAAAAAAAAAAUUGUCUGAAUAAUAUCAUUAUCUAUUCUUUUAUUUUCUAAUUAAAAUAAAAUUAACUUAUCAAAGAUGAUAUGACAUGACAUGAGUUGUUGAUUCCUUUUCUUUUUUUUUUCCUGAAACGUGCAGAAAAACAUUAAAUUUUACACACAAAAAAACAAACCCACAACGUAGCGUGUACCAGAGCCUAGUUCUAGGCUAAAUGAGAACCCGAACCAAAUACAAUAACUACAAGUUUUCUGCACAUGCUACCAGACUACAUAUGACUAGUCAUGAUGGAGUAGCUUUGAUGGAGAAAGGAGCAAAAGGAUCUGAAACAAUGGAAGUAACAGGAGGACUGUUCUCAGACACAAAGAGAAGGUAAGUGUUGGGUGGCAUCGAUAUCUGAAGGAGGAAGACCAUCAGGAAUGGUUUCAAAAUGAAAGCCAGGCAGGUUAUCAAGGGCAACAGGUCCUCCUGACCUAAGGAUACGUUUGUGAUUGAAUUCUGUGUUGACAAAUGUUAUGUGAAGGCCCUUACAGUGAAGAAGCUUUGCAAAUUUAAGCAUGGCCUUUAUAUCUCUCACUCAAUUCCCUUCUUCCUGGGUUGAUCACCAUGUUCACUCAUCAACGUACUUUAUAGCUGGAAAACACCCCCCACCCCUCAAUUAUUCUUAUAUUUGUGUCAUUUUCCAUGAGAUUACAAGGAUAUCCCUAAUUUUAGCUUGUGUUUAAAAGUAUGAUUGUAAUUAUUUUUUAAAUUAGUUUUUAUAUUAAAAUAUGUUAAAAUAAUAUAUUUUUUUUAUAAAAAUAAUUAUUUUUAAAAUUGAUGUAUCAAAACAAUUUAAAACACAAAAAAAAAAUUAAUUUUUAAUAAAAAAAUUAUUAUUUUUAAAAAUAUAGGAUAACUCGCGUUACCACGCAAGCUCCUCGUCGCAUAAAUGAAUGAAAUUACUUAGCCUAAUUGAUAUCUUCAUUUAAGAAGAUCAAUGAAAUUAGAAACUUGGAAAUUGUUUGGCUAUCUAAUCACAAAGUCAGUCGUGCUGAAGAUUAAUCGACGUUUUAACCACUUCCUUGAAAAAAUCACUUCAUCCUUGUCCCUGUCCCGCUUAUUUCACUUGAGAGCUGUGGAAAAAGCUAGAGAGGCAGAAAAUAUCUAAGACAUGUUCAUAGAAUAUUCAUUUCUGGCCACUUCUCAUAGAAUCAUUGAAGCCAAGAGGGUAUACUUACAGCUAUGGGAAUUGAAUGUAGGGCAGAAAUGUUUUUCACGUUUUUGUUUUUGGAAAAGAAUAGAUAAAAAUACAAAAUAAAUAUAUUUAAAAUAAUUUUAUUAUGAAUUUAUAUAUUCUUACAACAAAAAUAUUUUUUUUUAUUUCAAAACAGUAUCCAAUGACUAGUUGUUGGCUAUACUGGCAUAACAAGGGCUUAUGCAAUAAGGCACGACAACCUUCAUGCUUAGGAUCCCAAUGAUUAGUGGUUUUCGAAUAUAAUUUAAAAAGACCAUGAAAAUAUACUAUGUCACUGAUACAUAAGGUAUCUGUAAUUAAUAUCUUAGAGAAAGAAAAAAAACUAUGAGUAACUUUAUAAGUUUGACUUGAUAGAAAAAACGCUUGCUUAAUUUAUUUAAAUCUUCUUAGAUUUUAAUUUUAAAGUUAAUUUAUGGGCUCAACCCCACGUUGGGUCUAGACACGUUCAUGUUGGGAGUGGAAGCGACCGCGUCUAACUUCAUGUUGGACCUGGACGCGUCCACGCCCAACCUCACAUUGGUUUUUUUAAUAUAAUAAUGUAUGUUAUAAAUAUUAUUAUUUCUCUGAUAAUUCAAAGAGUUCGUAUAAAAAAUAUUAUUAUUUGUGUUAUAAAUAUUAUUAUUUUUAUUAUAACUCAAAGUAUUGAUAUAAAAAAUAUUAUUAUUUGUGUUAUAAUCAUCCUUUGAAUUCAUAAUAUAAUUAUUUAUGUGAUAAAUAUUAGUAUUUUUAUUAUAAUUCUAAAUAUACAUAUCAAAAAUAGUAUUAUUUGUCAAAAAUAUUAUUAUUUUUAUUAUAAUUAAUAGCAGGAACCAAUUCAAUGUUGGAUCCUGGAUCCUACCAUAUGCGUGUAGAACCCGAAAUACCUCUAGGUACUCACAUGUCCAAGAUCUAUAAUUGCUUUGAAUCCUCGUACCAAUUCCCAGACACACUCUUUCUACUAUUCAUUUAUUUUUUACAUUUCACAAAAACUUUUUUAUUCACUUGCUGCGAAAUGCGAGCUAAUAUGCUAGUUCUUAUCUAAAUGAAAUAAUAAUUUUUUAAUAAUAUUAACAGUUUAAAAAGAGAGACUGGUUGACAAAAAAAGAUCAAGCCCAGAGGACAUGAUUGAGAGGUGAAAAUUAGGUUAGGAUGCAAUCAAGUUUAGGGGAUUUGUUUAGGUUUGCCGACCGAUUUUCUUAUAAAUUUUUUGAUGAGUUUAGACAUGUGAAGGAAACAAUUGGUUUUAUUGGAUUGGAAGGAUUGCAAUGUAUUUAUCAUAUGAAAAAAUAAACAAAAAAGGGAAAGAAAUGGGGGACAAACUUGCUCAUCUACAGCAAUCCACAAGGCCUACAUGAUUAUUGCCAUAUAAGCCUGACCCUCUAGCUUUGAGAUAAGGUGUCCAUGUGGCAUCCAUUUAUUAGGUUAUAUCCAACUAGUUUAAAUUUUUGUCUUCAAAAUUAUUUUAGUAAUAUCUGUAUAUUAUUUUACGUUAAAAAAAUAAUAUCUCCAUUGACUAGUAAAUAUUUUUGCCUUUGUAUUAUUGCCAUGAUUAGUAAUUACCAGUCCUUGCUUAUAUAUUUGGCCCAAGCAGGGGGCUGAUAAGAGCAGGAUAUCAUCCAGGGAGAGAGAGAGAGAGAGAGAGAGGCUGCAAUAGGAAAGAGGCCGGCUGCUGCCUGUGAUCAUAUUUAACAGAUAUAGUCGUCCGAUCAUCGAUCUCUCCAAGGUCAGCCCUGGCUUGCUAGGUUUUUUUUUUUUUUUUUAAUAUAUAUAUAUAUAUAUAUAAAGUUUUGAUCAUGCGAAAUGCUGAUGCUGGUAACCUGGUUCCUUACUUGAACAACAGGUUCUUAAUGCUUUCUACCCGGACCUUUCUCCCUGAAAAUUAAGGCCCGGGUACUGUAGCUAACCUUUUUAAUGAAGAACAGAACUAGAUUCGACCUUUUUCGACCUUUUUCCUUUUGAAUAUGGUUUUUCUCCUAUAUUCUUUUUAUAUUUAUAUAUAUAUAUAUAUAUAUAUAUAUAUUUUAGUUUUGUUAUUAACACUUUUUAAAGUUUAAUAUAUAAAUAUUAGAAAAAUAUUUUAUUCUUUUAUGAGAUUUGAAACUUUUUAUUAAAUAUUUAUUUUAUAUUUUCAGAAAAAAAAUUAUUUUUUCAUGAUAAAAAAUUUGGUUUAAAUAUUUUAACUGAAAAUGAUAACAUAAUAUUUUUUUAAUGUGAAAUUUGAAACUCUUUAAUAUAUAUAUUUUAUAUUAAAAAAAAUUAUGUUUUUUUUAAUGUGGGAUAAAAAAAAAUUUUGGUUUAAAUACUUCAACUUUAAAGGAUAAUAUAAUAUCUUUUUAAUGUGGAAUAAAAAAACUUUUUAAAAUAUUCAUUUAAACUUUACUAUUUACAACAUAUAUAAUCUAUAUUUAUAAUUUUUUUUAAUUUUUUCAUAUGAAAUAUUCAAACGUUUAAUAUAUUUUUUUAAUUUUUUCAGGUUAAUCCAUAAAAUCUGAGAUCCGAUUUUGGUUUAAAUAUUUUUAGACGGAUCAAUCCUAAACCGGAUUUAAUAACUAUUUGUGUGUCAUGAAUUAGAAAGCAAUAGCAUCACCGAUAGACAAAGACAACAUGGACCAAAAAUAAUAAACUAAGACGACAUCAUCAUCAUGAUUAUGAGCAUUUUAAUAUCGAUUGAUGAAAGUUGAUUGAAACUUUUUUAUUAUUAUUAAUAUGAGGUGUUCAGGUGAGACUUGCUGUGACGACCAAAAAUUAUGUUGAACUGGACAAAUAUCCAACGAUCAUUCUAAAAUAGUGUGUUGUCUUUUAUUCUAGUUUUGGCAAGUUUUAAUUCAGACUUUCAUGCUUUACCUUUCUUUUUUGUUUUUCAGACUAUGUUUUUUUCUUUCAACUUGCUGGCACUAGCUCAUGAUACACCCUCUCGAUUACUAUAUAAAAGAAGAUGAGAAGUCAUAGAUUGAACUGCAUUCUCAAUCCAAAGAAAUUGAAUAGCAUAACUUAUUACUUAGGAGUGUUUCUUGCACAAUUUUAACUUAUGUUCCUUCUUGAUCAUGAUCUCUUAAUGAAGGAGAAAGGACGGGAUUUAAAAGUUUAGAAAUUAUGCUAUGCAUACAAAUAAAUUAUAUUAGAUUUGUAGUUGCAUUAUUGUGUUUAGUGAUGAGCAGUGAAGUACAAGUCUCGAGAAUAUUAAACAAUUGGACAAGAAUGAAGAGAGUAAUUAUCACAUUUUAUACAAGAAAUUUAUACGAUUUUCUUAUAGCAUCGCUCUUAAGAUUUACAUGUUGGUAAAAAGUGCCAUAAUAUUGUGAAAUAAUAAAGAAAUUGCUAUAUUAUUUUUGUUAAAAUAUAUCUCAAAAGUGCCUUAUUCUGGAAAAAAUAACACUCAAAAUUGAACUAUAUACCUGCCAUUCAUUCUUGGUUUUGUUUUGUUACCGAUCCAGAAUGGGAAAGGAUAAAUUUACCGCAAGUGAUUCAAACAUGAAAAAUGAUGUUGAAAGGGCAAGUGCAUCGAAUACUGAAGAGGACAAGGCAAGUGCUUCAGACAUUGACGAGGAUACAAACAAUGGGACAGGAAUGAUGUUUAGCCCAGAUUGGAGUCACACUUGGGAACAUCUGAAAGAAUUUAAGGAGCGGCCAUCGAAUACUGAAGAGGACAAGGCUGGUGAAUGCUGUAUCUACAAGGUUCCCAACUCACUUCGAGACAGAAAUCCGGAAGCCUUCUCUCCACAACUGAUUUCAAUAGGUCCUUUUCACCACAAUGAUGAAAGAUUGCAAGAGUCCAUGCCUAUGAAAUUUAGUUAUCAAGGAGAUUUCCUUAAAAGGAAUGACAUGGAGGAGAAGAGAUUUAUAGAUUUUCUAAGAAGAAUUCAGAAAAAAGAAGAGAGUAUCCGACUCUGUUAUUCAGAGAGUAUCCGACUCUGUUAUUCACGGAGCUGCUUGUGCUUCGAUAUAAAUUUUGUAAAGAUGAUCGUGCUGGAUGCUGUCUUCAUCAUUGAGUUUUUGAAGCAUUCAUAUAAAGAUGACUUUCCUCAAAAUCUUGAUACCAGGAUGAUAUCUUGCAUAGGAGAAGACUUGAUGCUACCUGAAAACCAACUACCUUUCUCCGUUAUCGACUCUAUAUAUAGCGAGUUUUAUCAAGAUGAACAAAACAUUACUUUUCUUGAUCUUGCCACCCGUCAUUUUGAAAAUUACCCAUUUGCACAAGGGCCAGAAUCCACACCACCGACAGAUGUAAGGCAUUUCACUGAUUUACUAAUGAAAUUAAUGUUGAAAGGAGCCCUCAAGCGAGAAAAUCGCUCUAAGCCUAUCAAGCUGAAAUAUAGCGCCGUCACGCUUCGCAAAGCAGGAGUGAAGUUUCAGGUGACCGAAGACAAGUGUUUGUUCAACGUGCAUUUUGAGAACGGAGUGCUGAAGAUACCAUUCUUGGAAGUUGAUGAUUCCUUCGAACGUUUAAUACGAAAUGUCAUGGCCUGGGAGCAGUGCUACAAACCGGGUGAAGCUUACAUCAGCAACUACUUUAAGUUUAUGGACCAUCUUAUUUACAGGGCAGAAGACGUGGCUUUGCUAGCUGAAGAGGGAAUUAUUAAGAACUGGCUAGGUGAUGACGCCGCAGUUUCAAAGUUGAUCAACAACCUUAGCCAACGUAGUGAAAAAACUUCUUAUUAUAGUGAUAUCUGUCAAACGCUGAAUGACUACUAUGAGGACCUCUGGAACCGUAGAAGGGCAACCUUGGAACUUGUUUAUUUCAGCAAUAUUUGGAGAGGUACGGGAACUAUUGCUUCAGCUUUCCUUCUAAUCCUCACUUUGAUACAGACUAUAACUUCCCUGAAAUCGUCAUUCUAGGAUUAAAUCUUGUUUAGUUUUAUUAAUCCUACGCAAUAAUUGAUGGGUUUGUUAUUGUUGUAUUCCUUAGAAAUUGUUGUUUUCAUCUAGUUCAAAGCUCGCGUAGUUCUAAAUGUAGCUAUUUCUUGUUGUAUUGUCCUGAAACUGAU